AGGAAUGAUGUGCUAGUAAACUACCUGUUAAAGUUUUGAUGGGUGCUAUGUGCCUGUUGAACUAAUUAUAAUUAAAUGAUUGAAGUAUUUUGGCAUGUGUCUGGAGUGUAUUCUGCAUUUCUUGAUGCCCUCUUGAGUUAUUGUAUUGCCAGGUCCAUUUCUUUCUUCAUGUAUGAGCUUGGUACUAAUGAAUGAUGACUUGUAUGUGGGAUAUCAAAACUGGAAUGUGAUGAGAACUACUGGUGGUUCAUGUAUCUAUAUCUUUGUAUUUGUGGGAACAAUGGGUGUUACACAAAGUCGGUGGUGUUUGGCUGCAAAGCAACCCUGGUACUGGGCAGCUCUAUCCAACCCUACGCGCUCAAAGUCAAUGAUGUUUGGGGUUCUUGUGUGCUGAUCUUAGCUAAUAAAUAUUAAAAAAUUGCUAACAGAGUUGAAAACAGACAAUGGUAGCUUGAAAAUCUGUCUGCGAAGUAUACAUUUGUUCUAGGAAGUAUUUACAUUUUGUGAUAAUAUAUGAUCCCUAAUUCUAUAUAACCAUGUUAGUGGCAGAGGCAAUUGAUACCUCACAUGCCUAUCUGAAACAACCUAUAUGCAGCUUGUCCUUUCUCACUGUAGUAGAAUAAUUUUAAUGAGUGCUCUUAUAUCAUCAUGUUGCAUAUUGUUAGAUGCCUAGAGUUCAGUGAUAUUGGUAUUGAGCCAAAUAUCAUCGCAUUUGGUGGAAUUGUGUGAAUCAGUGAGAGUUUAGGCUGUAAGCAUGUAUGUCUACACUACUUCUCCUAGUUGCAGUCUAUAUAUUUUCCCUGUGUCUCUGAAAGCCAUGUUGAUAAAUCUCCUCUGAAUAAGAUGCCUCAGCUCCUAGUUGAGUAGAAACUCCUAAUUUGGUUGCAAAGAGUUAGAGAAAUUGAUUUUGUGAUAUAUUUUCCAUUAUUAUUUAUAUUCUCUUGCAUUUUGGUUUUUCCAAUCAAGUAGAGAUAACAUGUUGAAGCUAUUACUAUUUCUUAUAGCACAUUCUUAUUUCUCUGAAGCUAUUUCUCUAUCCAUGGAUGUUUACAUGAGUUUGCUUUUUAUUUCAAAGCCAAGAUUUGUUCUUCUCUUCUUUGCUUUAAUAUAUGCCAGAUUUGGUGUGUGAAUUUUCUAGUUCGGCUAUUGGUAUGAUCUAUCUUGUCCAUCCAAGUCUCCCUGUCCACCUAUCCAAAUUAAUGAGUUCAUGUGCUGCUAGUCUUGAAACUUGACCUGACUUAUUGUUUCAUAUAUUGCAGACUGGUUUGGAGCAGUUGAAAGAAAUUUUCAAGAACUACAAGAAUCAGGCAAAUAAGAAGCUUGAUGACAUGGCCAAGAAGCUUGAAAAAAUUAAACGGAGGGCCAAAAAGCUACUUGAAGCAUUAGACAAGAGGUAGGUUAACAAGUUGGUUGACAAACUGUUUAGUUUGGUCUGUACAUAAAUUAGAUAAUCCAUGCUGGAACCUCUAGUGCUAGAGUGGAAUAGAUGCUUUUGUAAUGCAAGAAGUGCUAGAUUAAUUGUUGCUCACGAUGUAUUGUUCUUGUAAUAUAUUAUGAGACUUCCACACAAGGGCUUCACUUGACCGAUACCUUACCAGAUUUGUUUCCAUCGUUUAUACCUUACCAGAUUUGUUUCCAUUUUUUAUAUGUGAACGUGGAUUUCAGUUUUUGCUUGGGCCAUUCUGUUUGUUUGUACGAAUUGGACCAUAUGUUGCAGAAAGUGGUCAUCUAUGUUUCCAAUUGAGCAACUGCUUCAACUCCAGGAAGACCAUGUCGAAAAGAAUCCAAUGCCAACAGAGACAAAAAGUCAUCCAAAGAUCCUGGUAAGCAGCGCAGCGAUUGCGCGUUCAACCCCAGGAUUCCUAUUAAGCCAUCAUGUUGAUAAGUCUCCUCCAGAUCUGAAUAAUUAGCGGCAAUAACAUCAUAUUUCAUGCAACCACUUAUUUUUUGUUGCUAUAUAGAUAAAUGUAUCGCAACGCACAUACGAAUUAAGACAACACACCAAAUUUGUGGCAAUACUGUUUACGACUUGCAACCAUUUUGAAUUUAGUGGCAAUAAGCCUUGCAUAUUGCAACAAAAAAAAGCUUUAUAACAAUGCAAAAUAAUUGUGGCAAAUUUUACAGCGACUUCCAACCAUUUUUCAACUGGUGGUGAUAACAACUAUCUAUUGCAACAUAUUUUCUAUUGUUGCCAUGGGCUCUGUGGCAACGUGAUAAAUUAGUGGCAAUAUUGCUUACUACUUGCAACAAUAUUGUAUUUCAUGGCAAUAACCCUUAUAUAUUGCCAAAAAAAAUCAUUAUAAUAACACAAAGCACAUGUCGCAACAGAAUUAGCUAUUUGCCACCAAUUUUCAAAUGGUUGCGACAACAUCAAUCUUUUGCAACGGAAUUCCACAAUGGUGGCAAUAACACCUAUCUAUCGCAUCCAAAUUUGAAUUGUUGCAAUGGGCUCUGUCGGUGUUUUAGACUGGCAACCCACCUAGGGGGUACCCUAGGUGGUCUUUUGUGCGGUGGGUGUCAUCGAGAAUCAAGGAGUCGAUCCUGACAUACGGAACACAAUUUAGACAGGUUCGGGCCGCUAGAUCUCGUAAUACCCUACGUCCUGUGUGUUGAUUGUAUUGAACUUAGAUGAUCUGUUUGGAGGGGGUUCCUGCCCGCCCUUAUAUGAUCGGGGGAGUAGGGUUACAGGGUAGAAACCUUGUCAGGUACGGUUACAGAGUCCUACUUGGUCUAGAUAGAGUAGUUUCCAUAUAUAUUCCAUCUAGUCUUUAGGAGUCCGAGUGGGCCACGCUUCCCUGCCACGUAGCCCCCAAGCCCUGAUCUCAUUCAAGUACGCCCCUGAGUGGGCCAUACAGGGCCUACUCGUGAGCCUGGGGAUGUAUGCCCGACAAGCCCCCGAGUACUUUGUAGUCGAGUGGAAUAGGUCCGAGUACUCAGAAGUCGUUAUCCGAGUAAAUCCUGGUGCUUUGUUGUGAUGUCUUCGAGUACUGAGUACUGUCACGUGGCUAGAAGGUACUCUUCAUCUGUUGUUGCUUCGAGUUACUUUUUCCUUGGAGAUUAUAUGGUAGUGCGAUGACUAUCGCACUCCAUAUAGAGUAGCCCCCGAGCCUUAGGUUGAAUCGAAGAAUCAGGCUGAGGGUCAAUCCUGUGUUUUUGCUUUAGUAGUCUUCAGAAAAAAGAAAACUUUGUCCAGCGGAUAUGGUAUCUGCAGCUCCCGAGCACUUAGGCGGUUAUUUGUAGUCGAUGAAGUGGUCAAACCUCUUGGUCAGAGUAUCCGUUGGGAAUUAUGGUGAUAAAUCUGAUUUAUUUCUGACCGUUGCUUAAUUGACGCUUGGAAUCUGGAGGUGAUGGAGAUAUAACAGGGUGGGCCCAGUAUGUUCUUUUUUAGCAGAUCUAUUUUGUGUGCUUCUUUCCUGUUCAUCUUUCUGCUGCCGUCCUUUCUUGUGCCGCUGCCACCAUUGUUGCUCUCUUCUUGCCCUUGAGUGAGAUCCGCUGCCGAUCCUUCUCUUUUUUACUUUUCCCGAGGCUGACUGAUGCAUGUCAAAAAGAUAGGUAAGAAACUGAAGAAAACCCAAGGGCAAGCUGCGGCCGCCAGUAAGGUGAGAUCCAAAUCCAAAAAGGGGAAAGAGCUCGUGCUGCUGGCACCGAAGUGUGGCCUGACAAAUCAGACUGCACCGCCGCUGCCUGGGAUCAUCUGGCAGCACUCCGUGAUGAGGGAACCAGCGGUCCAGGCUUUGGUUGAUGCUAAGCUUCUUCAAUCAAAGCUUGAACUCGAGUGGAGGCCUGCUUUUGGCAAUGCGUGGUAGUUUGAGGAGCAUCCGAAGGAGACUUUCAUGCUUGCACACUUUGUCAAUAGAGGACUGGCAGUGCCCACUUCCAAAUUUUUCAAAGGUAUUCUCGGGUACUAUAAUCUUCAGUUAGUUCACCUGAACCCCAAUGGCGUGCUCCAUAUGGCUAUCUUUGUCCAUUUGUUUGAAGUAUACCUGGGUGCCCCUCCUAGUCUUGAGCUUUUUAGAAAGUUUUUUCAUUGUAAGCCGCAGGCCAGUGCAUCUGGGACGGAGGUUUUUGGAGGGGCCGAGUUUCAGCUUAGGAACUUGAGUGCUUAUCUCGAGUAUGUUUUGCCUGACUCUCAUGGCGACUGGAAAAAGAGAUGGUUUUAUAUUGGAAACCAUGAUCCUAUCUUACUAGUAGUCACUGGACACGCUCCAAAGCAUGCGGAGAAUUGGGUAAGCGAGCCUGAGGACACCCCUGAAAUUGCUAACUUGUUGACUCAGAUUGCUGAGUUGAGAUUGUUGGGCUUGACUGGCAUCAAUGUGGCUGCUAGUUUUCUUAAGCGGAGGGUUCAUCCUUUGCAGCAACGAGCUCGCUCAGGCUCGAAGUACUCGGGUUUUGAUGACCCGUCACGGAUGUCCCCUGAUGAGGCAGAGCUCAAGAGAAAAGAGGCUGCUGUGAGUAGCCAGCUUCUUGACUGGAGGAAUGCUCAUGACCGGGUAGCUGAUGAGGCUGACCGUCUCCGGGCAUCACUAGCUGAAGCUCAGGCUGCAUGUGAGCAUUAGAGGGAUAGAAAAAAUCAAAACGGAGUUAUGCUUGCUAUGACCAUGGUGGCCUGUAGAGAUCAUGGUAGGACCAUAGGAAGGCUUCGAGGUGAGCUCCAAGAAUUGACUAGUGCUGCGCAGGACGUAGUUAAUGUCAUCGCUCCGCUUGAAGAUGAUGCUGAGCCUCGCUCACUAGUCGAGCGGCUGAAGACUGCUCCGGGUAAGGUUGCUGGCCUUUGCAAGGCUGUUUGCAAACAAGUCCUUGCAGUGGUCAAGUCAUAUUACCUGAGGGCAGAUUUGAUGGCGGUUGGUGACGGUGUUGCUGGAAACUGCACAAAGGAUGCUUAUUGCUUUAUCUCGAGGAGGCUGAGCCGAUCGCUUCGAAGAUGUCUGAAUUUGUAUCUUUGGAAGAGCCUUAGGCGUGUAUAGCCUUCGAGUUGUAACUUGCCGAGUACUUUGUUGUUGUAUUUGAGACAAUUUCUGAAUUUUAUUUGAAGUUUGAUGAAUGAUCUUGUCUUUGGCUAAUCUUUGUAGUUGGGGGGAGCAAGUCCGAGUUUUAGCCGAGUAGUCGCAUUGUCUGCUGCAGACGUCAAUUAUUGGUGUUGCUGUUCGAAAGUACUCUGACGUUUUCUGCACUUUUAAGAGGAGUGCACGGGCGACCUGUUCACUUUUGUUUUUUGCGGUUGAAUGCCUUCACGUGAGUGGGUCAGAAAGCGUCUCGUUGACUCUUGUCAGUGAUUUAAGGCUUGUCGUCAUGAGCAGACAGUAACUUCCGAGUAGGUAGUGGUUGUGGCGUUUGGCUAUAAAUACACCACCGGGGGGGUCGACCAAGGCCAUGCUUCUCCGGAGUAGCAAUGGAUUGCUUUAUAUUGCUGUUAUUUGGUUGUAGAAAACUUUCAAAGAGUGCCCUGGUGCUAGAAGAUUCCUCGUAGAUUAGAGCCACCUUUCCUGCACAUACUCUUGUGCUCGUAGGGGUAGCCGCGAUGCUAGAAGAAUCCUCGUAGGAGGGUUUAUCGCGUGCCUCAUCUUGCAGCUUGUAAUCCAGCUAAGUCUGUGCUAGAACUCGCGAGUGAUGGGUGAUGGGUGCCGCGGUCUUUAUCCGGCUCUCUUAUUAGAGAUGGAGGUGUGGCGUGCAGUGUGGGACGGUGCGCUGAAGCUAGCAAGGGAGCAUUCUUGGUUCUUUUUCUCCUUUAUGCUGCGCCGGGGAUUCAUCAUUGCCGCUGUCGAGGGAGCGGCAGUAAAGGAAUUCCUGGUGUUGUUUGGGAGGACGACCAGGAUAUGGCUGCGUACUGCGCAGCUUCCUUGCAUGCAGGCCCUGCCUUUUGAUACUGCUUACACCUUGGUGUUCUAGUAGUCGCCAGGCCUGUGUAUCCUUGUGAUACAGUAAAAGCCCGAGGCUUGUGUGUAGACUACCAGUAGGCAGUUGCUUGUAGUCUUUGUUGUGCUGUUUUAUUGUAUUUUGAGUACCCUGGAUCUGUUCUGAGUAAUCGUAUGUAACUUCAAAAAAUUAUCCCAUUCAAAGCAAUCUUGAGUUUAUUUGAUGAUUGCGUCGGUCUUGCUUGAGUAAAAAAUGACUAAAUGAUGCAGUCGUGGUUUUUGCGAAAACUGCUUUUCUUCUGAAGUUGAGAACUCGUACUGAAGCUUUAGUGCCUGUAGGUACUUCUAGGGAUUGUUGAUGAAUCGGAGACUUGAUGAAAGCAAGUCGUUGGUCGAGAGUAGAGCGUGGGGGCUCGCAGUCGGAGAGCUCGAGUAGCUGUGAAUAGCCCAUAGUGACUUGUAGGGAUUUUGAUGAAAUCAAGUCGGAGAUCGGAGCAUUGGAGCUCAUCAGGCUGGAGGCCCCGAGUGGCCCAGAAUAGGGGUUUGUUUGAAAAACUUGGGGCGAAGGCCCGAGUACAUGCUCUGUAGUCUACUACGGGUAGUAGCGACAAAGAUGUUCUAUAUUCUAGGAAUUUGGUAUUUGUUCACCUGAGAGUUCUCGUAGUCUGUAUGUUCGGGGUCCUGUGACCUUGGAUACGAUGUAGGGACCUUCCCAUGGCGAGUUGAGCUUGUGCAACCCUGAUGUGUCCUGGAUUCGUUUGAGGACCAUGUCGCCUAAGUUGAAGGAUCGCUCUUUAAUAUUGCGGUCGUGGUAGCGUCUUAACCCGUCGAUGUAUCUGCCUGAUUGAAUUAGGGCUGCACAUCUUGUUUCUUCCAGACUAUUCCUUCAUCAUAUUGUUCGACUGCAGGAGACUGCCACAUGACAUCUGCGGGGAGGAUAGCUUCUGAUCCAUAUACAAGAAAAUAGGGGGAGAACCCAGUAGACUUGCAUGGUUGGGUUCGUAGUCCCCACAGGACAUUAGGUAGUUCUUUGAGCAAUUUGCCUCCUCUUGUGUUGCCGAUGUCGUGUAGCCUUUUCUUGAGUGCUUCGAGUAUCAUGCUGUUGGCACGCUCAACUUGUCCAUUGGCCCUUGGGUGAGCAACCGAGACAUAUCGUACGUCAAUUCCACUAUUCUCGCAAUAUUCCCAAAAAUCAUGGUUGUUGAAGUUGGAUCCUAGGUCGGUGAUUAUCCUGUUUGGGAAACCGUAGCGAUGUACAAUUUCAUCCAGGAAGUCGAGGACUCGAUCUGCCUUGGGGCAAGUGAUGGGUUUGAUUUUGAUCCAUUUGGUGAAUUUGUCGAUGGCUAUGAGAACUCGAUUGAAGCCUCCUGGCGCAAUUGGUAGUGGUCCUAUCAUAUCUAGCCCCCAGCAAGUGAAAGGCCAUGUUGGAGGGAUUGUGAUGAGUUUGUAGGUGGGGACGUGUUGCUGCUUAGUGAAGAACUAGCAGCCUUGGCAUUUGCGGACCAAUUGUUUUACAUCGGCCAAUGCCAUGGGCCAGUAAAAGCCUACUCUGAAAACUUUGCCUAUGAUUGUUCGUGAAGAGGCGUGAUUACCACAGAUUCCUUUGUGUAUUUCUUCUAAGAUUUCUUGGCCUUCUUCUCGGGUAACACAUUUCAUGAGUACCCCUGAUGAUGCGCUUUUCUUGUAGAGCUUGUCCCCGACUAGAACGUAGUUUUUUCCUCGUCACGAAAUUUGCUCAGCUUGAUUUUUAUCAGAUGGCAACUUAUGAUCUUUGAUGUAGUCAACGAAAGGUGAUCUCCAGUCGAUUUCUAUCAUCAUGAGCUCCUGAUUGGUUUUGGUAGGUUUGAUGACUAGUGGUGUGAUUUGUUUUGGUAUGGAUGGCUUAUGGAGCUCGUGUACAAAAAUUCCUGCUGGAACUUCUGCACGAGUUGAGUUCAUUUUUGAUAAUACGUUAGCAGCUACGUUGUUGUCACGGACAAUAUGAUGAAAUUCGAAGCCUGAGAACUUGUUUUCUAGUUUGUGGACUUCUUUGCAGUAAGCGUCCAUGUUUUCCUUGUUUCGAUCCCACUCGUCAUUGACUUGGUUAAUGACGACUAGCAAAUCGCCGUAUACUAGUAGUCGUUUGAUUCCAAGGGAGAUUACAAGACAAAGACCGUGUAGCAGCACUUUGUAUUCGGCUUCAUUGUUUGAGACUUCCCAAAUGAUUUGAAGGACGUAUUUGAGUUGUUCUCCUUUUGGGGAAAUCAAGAGUACUCCUGCGCCAGCUCCUUCAAGCUUGAGGGAAUCAUCGAAGUACAUGAACCAGUGCUCUGGCCUCUUAACUGGUGUUGGUACUUGAUUUUCCAUCCAUUCAGCCAUGAUGUCGACCAAAGCUUGAGAUUUGAUAGCUGUUCUUGGUACUUGGUUUGAAGUCUAAGGAUAGGGCUCCGAGCUCUACUGCCCAUUUUGAAAUUCUACCCGUUGCAUCCCUGUUGUGAAGGAUUUCGCCAAGCGGGAAGUCGGUGAUGAUUGUUAUGCUGUGUUCUUGAAAGUAAUGUCGCAGCUUUCGUGAAGUGAGCAGAAUUGCGUAGAGCAGCUUUUGUAUUGGUGGCUACCGAGUUUUGGAGUCUGAGGUUACUUCACUGACGAAGUAAACAAGUCUCUGGACUUUAUAAGUGUGACCUGCUUCAGACCGUUCGACUACUACUGCGGUGCUGACGACGUGAGUGGUAGCAGCUAUGUAUAGGAGCAAGUCUUUAUUUGGGGAUGGAGCAGUGAGGAUUGGUGGUUUUGACAGAAAGUCCUUGAGUUGUGUCAAGGCUUUGUCUACCUCUUCUGUCCAUUGAAACUUAUCCUGACGUUUGAGAAGCUUGAAGAACGGUAGUCCGUGUUCUCCAAGUCUCGAGAUGAACCGAUUAAGGGUUGCCAUGCAGCCUGUGAGUUUUUGCACAUCCUUGAUGCCAGCUGGUGCUUGCAUAUUUGUGCUGGCAGAUAUUUUCUCCAGGUUGGCCUCAAUGCCGCGGUGGCUAAUGAUGAACCCGAGUAGUUUGCCAGAAGGUACACCAAAAAUGCAUUUGGUAGAGUUAAGUUUCCAGCGGAAAGCUCGCAGGCUUGAGAAGGUUUCCUCCAAAUCGGUGAUUAGAUCUUCCUAUUUUCUUGUUUUGACGACUACGUCGUCCAUGUAAGCUUCUAUGUUGCGGUGUAAUUGCUUCUCGAAGCACAUCUGUAUAGCGCACUCAUAAGUUGCGCUUGCAAUUUUUUAACCCAAAUGACAUUGUUUUGUAGCAGAAUGCCCCAAACGGAGUGAUGAAGGCUGUUUUGGCUUGGUCUUCUUCUUUGAGGCUUAUUUUGUGGUAACCUGAAUAGCAGUCAAGACAGCAGAGUAAAUCGUACCCGGCAGUAGAAUCGACUACCUGGUCGAUCUAGGGUAGUCCAAAAGAGUCCUUUGGAGAAUGUUUGUUGAGAUCCGUGUAGUCGACGCACAUUCUCCAUUUGUUGUUUUUCUUGCGGACGAGUACAUUGUUGGCUAACCAAUCAGGGUGAAAAACUUCUUUGAUGAACCCUGCUGCAAGUAGUUUGGCAAGCUCUUUUUUAAUUGCUUCCCUUUUGUCUUGGGCGAACCUCCACAGGCGUUGUCGUUUUGGGGUAGCUUUGGGAUCAACAUUUAGUGAAUGCUCAAUCAGUUCCUUGGGCACACCAGGCAUGUCGGCUGGCUUCCAGGCGAAGAUAUCAUGGUUAGCCCAAAGAAAACUAAUGAGCGCGGUUUCCUAUUUGGGAUCUAGCCCUAUUCCAAUCAGAGCUGUCUUAGAAGAGUCGCUAGUCUGGAGAUCAACUAUUUUGAAAUCUCUCUCACUUGCUGGCUUUGCUUUUGUUGGCCCUGAUUUGUUUUCUAGGAUUUCGAGUUCUGUCGGAUGAAGUUUCUUUGAAGCUGAGAGAACUUGUUGCAUAGGGCUAGGCGCUUGAGAAGAUGUUGCGAUCUCCAUGGCUUCGGUGUCGCAUUCGUAGGAUCGCCUUAGGUCUCCUUGUAGCAUUAAUUCUCCCUUGGGUCCUGGCAUCUUGAGUAAUAAGAAGAUGUAAUGUGGUAUAGCCAUAAACUUGGCCAGAGCUGGUCUCCCGAGUAUGGCAUGGUAAGAGGUUUCGAAGUCGGCGACUUCAAAUCUGAUGUACUCGGUUUGGUAAUGUUCCUUUGUGGCGAAAGUUUUUGGUAGGAUGACUUGGCCUAAUGGUAUGGCUGCAUUUCUUGGUACAAUCCCGUAAAAUGGUGAGUCCGUUGGAGUGAGCAUGUCUGUGAUGUCAGGACACAUUUUUCUUAGUGUUUUGGUGAAGAUGACGUUGAGUCCGCUUCCACCAUCGAUGAGUACUUUGGUCAAUCUUGAGCCUGCGAUAACAGGAUCGAGUACUAGGGGGAAUCUGCCUGAUUCUGAGAAACUUGUCCAUUGAUCCCUUCUGCUGAAGGUUAUGGGUACCUCAGACCAUUUUUGUGGUGUGGGAGCAGCUGGCUCGAUGGCCAUAAUUUCUGUGAGUACCAGCUUGCUGGAUCGUUUGGAUGCGGUACUCGGGAUUCCACCAAAAAUAACGUUGACUGUUUUGGAGGCGGUCUGGAAGUCUCCCUCGCCUUCUUCAUCCUUAUCGAUUUUAUUUUUGCCCUUAUCCUUUUUAUGAUUAUAUUCUUCUGGAGGUGGUGGUGCGGGUAAAUCUUGCAUUACUCGGCCCAUGCUGUAGCAAUCUAUCGCUGAAUGUUUGUUGUUUGGGUGCCAUGGGCAUUGUUUCUUGAGUAGUUCGAUGAAGGUGGGUCCUUCAUCGCGUUUGCGAGAUCCUUUCUUUCCUGAGUUGGUCAUAGAAGCAACAGUGUUGUCAAGCUUGCGUUUGCGGUUUGAGUUACUCGAGUAGUUAUUUCGAGUAUCGGUAUUCCAGUUCCUGUCUUGCUCAUGACUGUUAUUGUCGCGCCUGUGGUUGCGAUGGGAGCCGAAUCGCUCACCCUCUUUAUGUUCUUCGUCUGCCCAUUGUUGUACCAUGACUUUGAGAUCCUUGAUAGUGAUCGAUCGUCAUCUGCCAAAGUCUUGGUAUGUUCGACGAUCGUAGAGGCCAUUUUGAAAGCACUCGAUGAUGUCUGUUUCUGAAAUGUCGACUAUAGUAGCCUUUUCUCGAAGAAUCGACGCAGGUAGUCAUAGUGUCUCACCUUUUUUUUGUUUUACUUGACUUAGGUCAAUCUUGUUGCUUGGUUGGGUCAUGGAGCCCGUGUAGUUGUUGGUGAAAGCUUUUGUCAAAUCUUCCCAAGAGUCAAUUGUUCUAGGUUUUAGUGACUCAAGCCACGUUAGAGGUGCGGGUUCCAUGCAUAUGGGAAAAUGGAUGACCUUUGUGUCAUCGUUGCCUCCGGCUACCUAAACUGCCAACGAGUAACACCGGAGCCAUUGGACUGGGUCCUGCUUGCCAUCAUACUUAGUGAUUCCUAUUGGUUUGAAUUUUUUAGGUAACCUUAUCCUCAUUACCCGCGUAGUGAAAGCAGGGAAAUGGUUAUAAUUGUCGACUUCGCGUUUGCGUUUGCGACGACUAUUGAUUAUUUCCUGUAGAUCGCUGAAAUUUGAUACUUCGUGAUUUUUUCUGCCAUGGCGAGGACUUUUUGCAGAGUUGGUGCAGCUGGCAUCUCCGACGUCUUUAUGUCAUAUUGGGGCCUUGCGUUUGCUUUGUCCUUGGCUAUGUUGCCUUGGUUGGUUGUCUACUUCAUUGUUGUUUCUUUGAGCUUCGUGAUGGCCAUUGUUGGCUGCGGCACCCCUGCUGCCCUCUCGAUGGGCCGAGUUGUGAGGAACAGAUGGGAUUGGUGAUUCUUUAUCGAGUAGUUUGUAAGCUUGUUCUGCGAGUUGUGCGAUUAGUCCAUUGCCUCUCUACGCGAGUUGAGCUGUUAAUUCAUUAUCUCUGUCGUGAGGUAUGAGAGUUGAUAUGAGAUUGAUUGAGGCGAUUGCUGCGAGUGGAGUGUUGUGUUCUUGGGCUUGUAUUGCGUCGAAUGAUCUUUCAAGGUUCAUGAUAGGGAUGUUUGUGGCUAGCAGUUGUCGACGCUCAGCCCGAGUAAUAUUUCGUGCCCUUCUUUGGUUUCUUUGCUUGGAAGUUUCGUCUUGCGGGGCGUUAGCCGAUGACUCAUCCUCUGAAACAUUAUUGGGCUGUGCUAUCUGUCGAGGUGUUCUCUUUUGGCUAGUACCCACAUUAUUGUUUUGAGUGAUGACAAAAAUUUCUCUGUCUGGGUAGUAGCUUCCAGAGCUUGAUGUUGCAAUUUCUGUAGUGCUUUUCUCGCGGUUUGAAGUGAGCGGGACGCCUUCUUGAUAUGACAGGUUGUCUGUGUGAGCGACAAGGCGCGACUCGUAGUCAUGGGCAAGGAAAGAUGGCUUCAUCCCUGGCCAGUUAAUGAAUCUGCUGUGUGGAGUUGAGGUAACUACCAGACCUUGCGCUGGACCUAAUAAUGGAAUUUCUUGGACGUAGCCCGAGUCGAGGUUGCAGUCCAUAUCCUCCCGGUGUUCGAGUUGGGUUCGAGUAAGGAGACCUUGGUAGACUUCGGCUGUGUUGCGGAGUCCGUACGGGUAUCGUCUCUGAGUCGAAGUCGACUUGCGAGGUGACUGGGGCUUUAGCUUGUGCCGACUAGUCCGAGUUGAGGUCGAGUCGGAGCCGUAGUCGAACUCGGUGUUGUUGACUUUGAAAACUUGGUUUUCCUCGACGAAAUCUUCCAUCUCUUGCUGAAGAAAGCUUUCGUCGAGAGGUUCCUUCUCCUGGAUGCUGAUGAUGUGGUGCUGAAAUGAUCCAGCACCGUCGGCGAUGCAAAGCCAGGAUCCGAAAACAAAGGUUGCGCCUGCCUCAAAGGUGAAAGCAAGCUUGAUAAUGAUAGAUGCCAUCGAACUUGCAUGGAGAAACUCGGUGACGACCCCUACCUGGCGCGCCAGCUGUCGGUGUUUGAGACCGGCAACCCACCUAGGGGGUACCCUAGGCGGUCUUUUGUGCGGUGGGUGUUGUCGAGAAUCAAGGAGUCGAUGGUGAUGUAAGGAACACAAUUUAGACAGGUUCGGGCUGCUAGAUUGCGUAGUACCCUACGUCCUGUGUGUUGAUUGUAUUGAACUUAGAUGAUCUGUUUGGAGGGGGUCCCUGCCCACCCUUAUAUGAUCGGGGGAGCAGGGUUACAGGGUAGAAACCUAGUUGGGUAUGGUUAUAGAGUCCUACUCGGUCUAGAUAGAAUAGUUUUCUUAUAUAUUCCAACUAGUCUUUAGGAGUCCGAGUGGGCCAUGCUUCCCUGCCGCGUAGCCCCCGAGCCCUAAUCUCAUCCGAGUACGCCCCUGAGUGGGCCGUACAGGGCCUACUCGUGAGCCUGGGGAUGUAUGCCUAAUAGACUCUAUGGAAAUAGGCCAAAAAUCUACUAGUGCAACCACUUCCCCUCCCUCAUCAUUUCGCUUUCUUGGAACCGCAACCCCUGCCUCAUCCAUAACUUCCCCCUUCUCUAUCUAUUAGGAGUCCUCCAUUGUUCACCCUCUACCUUCUUAUUUGGCAGUCAAGUCAAUCUCUGCUCAAUCAUGGAUCCUUCCUAAGAAAAUCUUAUGCCAGAUCUUAUUGUGAGCAUCACUAAUAAGAUCAGUGAUGCAAGAGAUUUCAUCAGGUUCAAAGUAAUCUGUAAGAGUGAACUACACUCGUUCAGGUGAGGCAUGCCUGUUUGACCCUUGGAUUCUAAAAUCCAAAGAUAUCGGUGAAUCUAGUGCAGUGACAUUCGCAUCCGUCAUGGAUUACUAGCUUUUUGAUGUCACCUUUCUAGCAUUAGCUGGGAAAAGGACUACGUUGAUUUGUUGCGAAGAAUCUGGAUGCCUAGUCGCAGUACACAGCAAUGGGAGCACCGUGAUCCUGUUGAAUCCUUUGUCUCAUCGGGAGCACAUUAUCCUUUCUCGACUUCCAACAUAGUGCCAUAUGGCUGCUCUUGAUGCUUGUAUCAUGGGCUUGGAAACACCUACUAGCGCAGCUCUUCUGAACACUUGCAGAUCUACUUGGGGCAUCCUCUUCCAGAACCUCCUCAAGCCGUUGGACUCCAGUUAUCAUGGGUCCUUGACAUGAGCAACUCUUCUCUACUCCAAGGUCAAGACCAAUUGUUCUUUGUUGUUCAGGAGGAGAGGAUGCACAACGAGUAGAGAGAUGUUGAGGUGGUGGAAUUUACUCUGCAUUCAUUCAUCAGUGACAUCUAGCAGCCUAUUCCCUAGGAGAUAGCUCCAGAGUUCCAGAAUAAGAUCAUCCUGUUUGGACCUGGCAAGUGCAUUGUUGUACAAGAGCAUGCAUGUAACAUCACACUUUUUAGAGCAUUUAAAUAUACAGGCCUUUUAAAAUUUUCUUUAAAUUAAGUCCAUUUUUCAUCUUCCCGAAUAUUCAAAACUAAUUUCACAAACAAAUCUUGCAUUAAACCAACAUAUGCGUUGCACUAAAUUGCCUCCCUUAGGAAACCCACCUUUUUGAAACUAACUCUCUAGAAACUAGAAAUAGAACCUCCAAGAAUCUUUUUUCUUUCUUCUCCAAAGCCUAGAACUAAUAUUCAAAUUAAAUUUGAAUAUUAAUUCCAUAAGGUUCCUAUCCAAUCCUAGUCCUAUCCCAACAUCUUCAAAUUUAGAUCCCCCUACCAAAGUUGUAAUAACUAUUCCAAGCCCCACUCUAAAACCUAUUCAAAUUUGAAAUCCUUUUCAAAUUUGAGUUCAAACUCCAAUUCACUUAAAAGAAAAACGUUCUAAUCUUGCCAUGGGCUGCCAACCCCAAAAUUGGCUCGCUCACUCUUCCAGCCCAGCCUGCCUCCGUUCCUCCCUUCCUGGCAUGCACACUCGCUUCGGCCUGCUCACGCGCCCGCCUCUUGUGGCUCAGCAGCGCACCACGGCCCAGCUCGCAUCCCUGCGCUAGCCCACCACACCGGCCUGGCUUGCCCCAGCUUCUCCUCCUCUGCACUCACCAGCGUCGCCGUUGGUGGGGAGGAAUUCCCCCGCCGCCACCAUGUGUGACCAUAGGCCUCUACCAAGCCACCACGCUGCAAUUACCGUGCCGCCAGUUGCAAUCACCACACCACCGCCGGAUAGGUGGAGCCCCCGGCCAUGUGCCACCUCCCUCCCCCCCCCCCCCCCCGCGUGCUUCCCCUUCCCUUAUAUCCUCUGUGCUUGGGACACUAAACCCUGCCCGGCCGCCGUUGUGCCACGCCGACACCCUACCACAUGUGCUGCGUUUCUUCACCACCAAGACACCCAGGUGCACGCACCUUCUGCCCUGCCUCUCCUCUACGCCGGCAGCAGGCUACCUCACUUCCUCCAGCCGAUCCAAUCUGCCCGGCCGUGCACCCUCUCCCGCUCCUCUCUGCUCUAACCAGCACAUGCACACCUGCUAGAACCGUCUAGCCCCUCCUCUUGCUUAACCUCGAAGGUGAGCUUGGAGUCAAUGCUCUCGGCCAAUUCGAGCCGCCUACCAGGCCAUCUCCUCCGCCCCUAACAAGCGCAGCACCGCCCACGGCCACCUCAUCUGCCUGCCACCAUUAAUACUGCCACCCUUAUCUCCUCGCCGUGCAUGUCCCCCUUGGCCACCAAGCAGCCCGGCUCUACGUGGCAAGCAUACGUGCUCCCUCGCCGCCUAUAAAAGGAGACAGAGCCCCUCUUGUCGGGGAUAGAUCCCGAGUACCGCAAGGAAGGAAGAAGAUGAACUCCUACUAGGAUUUUCUUGUAAUCCUACUAGGACUCAUACCAUGUAAUCCUAGUAGGACUCCUCCUUGUAACAGACUAGUAAUCCCGCCCCCUGAGUGUUGGCGCUGAAAAUCGGCCGAUGACCCUCAGUGUCGGACACAUGACCCGGGUGAAUCUGCUUAACUCCUAUUUGGGUUAUUACCCUGGUGCGGUUUGCGUGGCGUGCCAGUCAAUCUGACCUGUUGAUUGACAAGGAAUAAAAGUAUUAAAUUCUAGGGGCUUCAAUUGGCUAAAUUUCCGAUCUGUCUUGAAAAGCGUAUUAGCGAAUCGGCCGAUUUACUAUAGAGAUGACCGGCUAUAAACAGCUGAUAUCCGUGUAGCAAUUCUGAGAAAAACAACUAGGGCAACCUAGACAACACUACAAAGGCAACACUUGGAAUAGAUCUAAUUGGCUAUUGUGAUGAUAAAGAAAAAUAAUAAUGAAAAGCCGACAAUUCGUGUCUCAAGCUGGAUAACUGGUGAUAAAACUAGAGCAAUAAAUAAAACCUAUAAUUCUAGUUAAUAUUGAUAACUGGUGAAUAAAUCUAAAUGAAACAACAGCGAUGCACCCGAAGUUAAAGAUUAGAUAUUACUCGAUAAGCGGAACUUACAGAUUUUCUAGAGAUCAUGUCGAUGCAACCCUGCCAACUCGUACAAACUCGUGAAAAGAAAAGGUUUUGGCGAAGUCACCGACUUGAAAGUAAAGUACGAGGAAAGAGUAGAUUUGUUGUAUUGAUUGAUUGAUGUUUACAAGCCUCACAAGGCAGCUAUUUAUACCCUGUUGCAACCAAUCUCUUAACCGACUAGGAUCUAUCUCUAAUUUUAAACGAUAACAAAUAUUUAUAAACACAACUCGUAUCGGAGUUGGUUACUAUCUCCCCAUGGGCCAAUCUCCUUUUUUCAGCUAAUCUUCAUCUUGGCCCACCUCAGGCCCAUACCGGCCAAGCCAUCCCGAUUCCCAAUCGGCCAGCCUCUAUCAACUCCCUCUGCCAGUUGGCCGAAACAUUGUAGCUUUAAUCAGCCAAUUCCCAACUGUAGCUUCUAGCCGCCGCACCGGCUGCCUUUCUUCUUCUUUGACGCCGAUUCCAAACACGUGUCAAAAUCCGGCGUCAACACAUGCCCCCCAGUUUCGGAGUAAAACACAACUUUUGCUUCGAAACCUUUUCAACUCUAACUCCUUCCCCAAAGAAAACGCAACAGUAAGCAUGACGAAAGCUCUUUUUCGCUCCGCAGUCUUCUCUCUGAUGAUCGCAGUUUUUUUUUAACGAAGCGCUUGCAGGCAACCGCUAUCCCCAAAAUUCAUGUAGACGGUGCGGUAAAAAUCCUGCCUUUACCCUUCUCUCGAACCGUCCUUAAAUAUUCGCAUCCUCCACCGCUUCUUCUCACAAACUCAGAAGCCUUCCUUCUCCGGCGAAUCACCUCCCGUCGCAUUCCGGCACCCUUUCAACUUCCAGCUGCAUCCCUUCGGUGAUUCUCCCUUCAUCUUCUGAUCAUCUCACUCUGGUUCAUUCCAAUGGCGAUCCCAUCAGCGACCAUGGCCUUCAUCCAAGAGGUAAAUACCCCAAUUUUUUUCCCUUUUCACCUUUUUACCAUUUCACGCAUUUUUUUAGAUCUGUUCUUAGCUUUCUCUUUAUAUCCUUCUUAGGAGCUUAGGCAGAGGAUCACCAUCCCUAUCUGUAACGCACCCGGCCUCAUCGGCCAUGGCCCCAUGGGGAAUCCAGAUCCCACUGAAUUGAUCAACUUGGAAACCCACAGGAUCCCCUUCAAGCAAUCAGUCAUGGAUCUAAACCACUGGACAAGCGCAUUUAGGUCUUGGCCGAACGAAACCCCUAGCUGGAGGGAAUGGUUUCAGAGAAUGUCAAACUCCAAGAGAGUUCUUUGGGACAAAAUGAAAAUCGUCCACUGCAUAAACUUGUCCUUAUCUCAACUGGAGAGGAAUGAUUCUUUGGUCAUCGCGGCGUCUUACUUCUGGUCUGACGCACUCAAUGCAUUCCUCUUCGGCCACGGGCCCAUGACCCCUAAUUUGGCUGAUGUCCUGAUGCUAACCGGCCUUGACGUCUCCUCUCGUGACUCACCCUUUGAUUUCCUGGUCAAGCCCACUCAUCGUCUGGAAAUAAAAGGAAUUGGCGGGUGGAAGGGCUUUAUUGAGAAAAAUAUGAAGACUGGGCCUAUCGAUGGCAGAGAGUACACAUCUUUUCUGAUGAUGUGGCUAGAGAAGCACUUCUUUUGCGACAAAGCAGUUGGCCCUUCUUCCAACACACAAGCUCUGGCCGAGGCCCUAGCAAGAGGCUCUACUGUCCCUUUGGGAAAACACCUGCUAGGAUCAAUUUACUAUAUGGUGCACCAGAUUGCUAUCAAGCUGUCAUCCGGAGAGCCGAUUGGGAACUCUGGUGGUCCCUAGUGGUUUAUUACCCUCUAGCUUAAUUUAUACAUGAGCAAGGUCUCUAGGGAACGAGUCGAGACCAAGACGUUCCCCAAUAUUGAAUCAGAGGAUGACCCAACAUCAAGACGGCGUUGCACCUCCUUUGGUGAGGCAGUGUCAGCUUUUCCUAGCAGCAGAUUCACCCCGACAAAAACAGCUGAGUACUUUAGAUGUUUCUACAUAGGCUUUAGUGAAGAAACCACAAGCUGGUAUCCAUAUCAGAGAGAUGAACCACUCUUUGAAAACCCUGACUGCUUUGACUCAACCAGCAGCUCUUUUGAGAACGAGCUCAUGGACAUUUUGAUCAAGCCUGGGAUUCUUCCAGGAAAGUUCUUCUCGGGAAAGGACUCCCCAACUUAUGAGUUUUACAACCCAUCAGUGGCAACUCGGCAAUUUGGCCUAGGGCAGACGCUGAUUAAAAUUUACUUUGUCAGCCGUGUGAAGUUUCGAGAAUGGUUUUCAAGAGGAUUUGAAUACAAUCGGCUGUGCAACUUGAUGCCAGAUUCCAGCACCAUCGACUUGACCAAUUGGGUAGUAGCACCCUUCUCCGUCCAACAAUUCAAGUUAUGGUGGGGCGAAUGGAAACAACACCUUUUUUGUGCAUCUUCUGCAUCAUAUUGCAACGAGCUGGAUCCCAUUAAUAUUGAUCCAAACGCCAAGGUAAUACCCUUUCUCAGCCAAUUUCUCACUGUUUUUCCCUAGGGUCGUCGCUGACCUCCCUUCUUUGUGUAGUCCAAAAGCCAGCCUCCUCCAACGCGCAGCCGAAGCGAUAGGUUGAUAGAAAGUCACCACCCGUAUACUUCAUUUCCAAUCAUCAGCUUUCACUCUCCGUCGAUGGAAGACAUAGUCACUGGCUGAUUGAAGCAAAAGCUAAAAAUAUCUUCUUCAAAGAAAACAAGCCGUCGGGUGCGCGCCCGCACGGAAUCGGCUGCUCAAUCGGCACUGCCAGCCGAGCCCUCAACUACACCGACUCUUCCAGUCAUUCAGGAGGUUGACCCCCAAACAGCCUCAGAAGUCGGAUCGGCGGCUGCAUCCUUAUUAGUAGAAGCUGUCCAGGUAAUCUUACAUGUUGCAAUCCUUCUAAGUAUACUAUCAUCACUUUAACUUGGCUCCUUAUCAGGUUGCACAAAUCCUCCCGGAGCAAACUUCUCAUCAAACAGCCGCACCUCAAGCAGGGACCGAGUCACCAGUGGUCCUUCCAAUCGUGGUAAGGAAUAUACCUUUUAUUUAUUUUUUUCAAUCUUCAAUUAAAACUGACUGACUCCUUGGCAUAGACAACUCUGGGUACAUCAAUCGUACCUUUCCAACAGCCACCGGCCGCGCAAUUUGCAGAGGUAAGACAACUGACACCCAUUUCUAGAUCCAUUCACCCCCAUGCACUCAUAGAGACUUGUCCUAUCAUACUUUAGGAGGCUGGUCCAAGCACCGCACCAAUCAUCGUCGAAUCCUCUUCCUUUGACGAGCCGGCCGCGCUGAUUCCCGAGCCAAGGAUAACAUUCCCACCAGCGCAGGCAGAAGAAAUCUAUUGUAACGAGGUAAAGACCUUCACUAUUUAAACCAGCUGAUUUCCUACUACUGUUGGCUAAUCCAUAUCUUCCUUUUUACUUUCUUAGGAGCAAGACACGGCCAACAACAGCCUCUUUUCAUUUGUCGUUGCCGUCUCUGAUGAUGAAGAUGUUGCCUCUUGUUAGGUGGCUUUGGGUUCAAUUCCUGAAGAAAUUCGUGCUAAGCUCCAGAGCAUCCGAACCCUCCUUCAGGAUGACAUCGGCCGAUUGGUAGAAGACAUCUCGCCGAUGCGGUAGAUCUUCAACGAAAUAAAAGGUCGAGUCCCAGAGGACGCAGAAGAAACUCUUGCACCCGCGGCAUAUAUCGAUUCAAUGCAGAUCCUGGUGUUCAGAGCCCUGCGGCAUAUGGCCGAUCGUGCCAAGCUGGCAAAGGCGUGCGAAGAGGAAGAAUCCUACAAGCACCGAGCUCAAGAGGUACAUCAUCGAAUCGGUGCACUUGAGAAUUCUUGCUCGGCCAUCGUUGGCACCAUAGACCGUCUCAAAUGGCGUAGGGCAGAGCUCACCAAGGAGAUGGAGCAGGUCAUGAAGGCCAUCGCCACUAAAGAGAAGAAGCUCCACGGUCUUCCGGCCAUCAUCGCCGAUUUGAAGCAGGAGAGGCAAACUCCUGGCCACGAGGCCAUCCGACUUCAUCGCAACAUGCUAGAGGUCCCUGGAUCGGCAGAAGAUGACCAACAGGUACUAGACUCAGCAGACCAGAUCCGCCAGCGGGUGAUUGUAGCCAUUAAUACUCUCCUUGAGUGAAUGUAUCAAACAUUGAAUCGUCCUUAGAACGCUUUUGUACGAACAUUUAAUGCCCUAUUGCCGUUGCUGUGCGAAUACAAACUUGAACAUUUCCCCUUCGCAGCAUUUUAACCCAACGGUCAUUUGCUUUGAAUGGAUGCCUUUACUAACCGUUGCCCCUCUAUUUUCCUCCUAUAAUAUGAGGUCUCCGCGUAUCUCCCAGAGGCACUCGCAUCUCAUCCAUCCUUCUACCCCUUGCUUGACCAUUUUCAGAUCCCCAACCGGGCGCCGAGAUGUCUUCCUCUUCCUCUGUCAAUUAGGUACGAAGUCACCCUUGCGCUCCUUGACCAAUUCUUUUUGAUGACUGAUUGCCCACUGUUUUUCCAGCCAACCCGGCUCAGCCCUGAUCUCGAGCGGGCUAUCGAGAUUAUGCACUCCAAGGAACCACUAACGCAGGCGGACAAAGACUUGAUCGAAACCCACCGUGAGGAACUUAAAGACCAUCUUCCAGCUCACAUCGAGAAGAUUGUGGAUCACAUCGAAGCCAACAACUCUAGGAAACCACCUCAACCGCCAAUUGAGAGGAGCCACCAGCUGCCUCACCAGGUCGCUCUCGAAGAUGCCAUGGUGGACAUGGAGGAGAAGAGCACCCGUCUCCUAAUCCAACUAGGCCGGAUUCAAAGAGACAUUGACGCAAGCAAAGCCUAGUUGAAACACCAUUAACCACAUUGUAGUAUGUUGGUACUUUUAUUCUAAGGGCGACUUGUACCAUGUCGGUCAUGUACCCAAACAAUGUACCAAAUAAUAAUCGACCUGUUUGAGUGGAGAUUUUUCUUGUUUUUUCGUCCUCAAGGUGAUGUCCCCUUGCAUCGGCUAUGCAAACACGAGUCAAUAGGAAUCGGCCGCAAGGGCUCGAUACGCUAACUCAUCAGCUAGGCAUCUACCCAUAUGCUGGGAUAGUAUCUCUUUAAAUAUCUUCCAUUCAAAGCCCAUGUAAAUUCUUCUCCUUCGAUAGUCUCCAAUAUGUACGCAUUUCCUGGUGCGAACUAACUGAUCUAUAUGGCCCUUCCCAAGUAGGCGACCACUUACCGUAUUUGGGAUCCUUAGAUCAUAUCGGCAGGACCAAUUUCCAUACCAAAUCCCCUUGGGAGAACUGCUUGAUCUUAACCUUCUUGUUAUACCACCUGGUGACUCUUUUCUUAUUCUCCUCAAUACUGAUCAAAGCCCUCAAUCGCUGACCCGCCAAAUCGUCCAACUCCCCUUUCAUGAGGAGAGAAUAAUCGUCGGCUGCCAACUGAUCUUGAAGUGACAUGCGUCUAGACCCAGUUCUCAAUUCCCAAGGUAGCACCGCCUCAUGUCCAUACACUAAUUGGUAAGGAGAUACUUUGGUAGCAUCGUGGCAGGCUAUCCUAUACUCCCACAAAGACUCGCUCAAAGUCGCGUGCCCUCUCCUUGGUUGCUCCUCUAUCUUCCUCUUGAUCAACUUGAUUAUCCCUUUAUUGGACGAUUCAGCCUAACCAUUAGCCUGAGCAUAACACGGAGAAGAAUUUAACAAUUUAAUUCCCAUGUCGGCAGUGAACUCCUCAAACUCUCCUGAAGUAAACAUUGUUCCCUGAUCAAUUGUAAUGGUCUGAGGAAUAACAAACCGAUAGGCAAUGUGCCUUUACAAAUUCAAUCAUGACGACCGAUGUCACGGUUUUCAGAGGGACUGCCUCCACCCAUUUGGUGAAGUAGUCAGUAGCCACCAAUAUAAACUUGUUCCCUUUGCUUGAUGGAGGAUAAAUCUGUCCGAUAAGAUUGAUUCCCCAACCUCUGAACGACCACGGCUUAAUUAUUGGGUUCAUAGCUGAAGCUGGUGCUCGUUGCACGUUGCCGAAUCUCUAACAAUCCUGACACCCCUUAUAAUAUUUAAAGCGAUCUUCGAGAAUCAUCAGCCAAUAAUAACCAUUGUUUCGAAUCAUCCACUUCAUCUUGUAGGCCGAUUGAUGGGCCCCGCAUACGCUUUCGUGAAUUUCUCCGAUCAGAAUCUUUGCCUCUUCUAACCCAAGGCAUUUGAGUAGCACUCCAUCAAUCGUCCGAAAAAACAAGUCAUCUUUAAGUAGUACAUAUUUUGUAGCCUGAAAAUAUACUCGCCGAUCAACUUUCUUGGAUGGAUCUUUUAAGUAAUCGGCAAUCUCCUUCCUCCAAUCGUCGGCCGCAAGCUCCAGAGUCAUGGCCCCUUGAAUCAGCCGAUACCCAGAAGCAUGUUGGGCAAGCCUAUUGGCUUCUUUGUUGUAACCCCUGGGAAUAUGCUCAAUAAUUGCAGACUUGAACUCAUUCAGUAACUAGAGACAAUCUUCAUAGUAGAUCCUCAAGAUAUCAUCCUUGCAUUCAGACUUCCCGGUUAAUUGAUCCACAAUGAGGAUGGAAUCCCCAAAAAUUUCCACCGCAUCGGCUUUGACCUCCCUCAAUAAUUGAAUCCAUUUUCGAACAGCUCGGUAUUCCGCUUGAUUAUUAGUGGCGGAUGCUUCAAUUGGCAGAGAGAAAUCAUAACUCGCCCCCCGAGGCGAUAUGAGGAUGAUGUCGAUUCCUGAUCCAGCCCCACACGAAGACCCAUUGAAGCAUAGUGUCCACGACGCUGGCUCGACGACGGCAAACUCUGAUCCACAGUGCUAGGCCACGAAAUCAGCCAUUACUUGCCCCUUGAUAGACUUGGCUGAUUCGUACCUUAGGUCGAAUUCUGAGAGGGCCAGAAUCCAUUUUCCAAUUCUCCCUUUCAAAAUCGGUAGUGAUAACAUAUAUUUGACAACAUCGUCUUCGCAUACAACCAGGCACUCCGCCGAUAGCAGGUAGUGCCUGAGUUUGGUACAAGAAAAAUAUAAACAAAGGCACAGCCGCUCCACCGAAGGAUAUCUGGUUUCAGCAUCCAGAAGUCUUCUGCUGACGUAAUAGAUUACUCUUUCUUUCCCCUCGAACUCCCGGACCAGCGCCGAUCCAAUAGCUCGUUCAUCAGCCGAUAGGUACAGUCUGAAUGGCUUAUCAGCCUGCGGAGGGACCAAUACCAGGGGUGAGACUAAGUACUAAUUAAUGUUGUCCAACGCUUUGUGUUGUUCUUCACCCCAGACAAAUUCUUGGUCGGGCUUCAAUUUCAACAAAGGGGUGAAAGCUUGAAUACGCUCAGACAAGUUAGAUAUGAACCGCCAGAUGAAGUUGACUUUGCCGAUUAAGGACUGUAGCUCGAUCUUGUCUUGUGGGGCCACAACCUUGUUGAUGGCAGCUAUAAUCUUCUGAUUGAUCUCGUUGCUGUGCUCGUGGACCAUGAAACCCAGAAAUUGACCAGCCGAAACACUGAAGGCACAUUUGUUAGGAUUCAUUUUCAACCCAUGCUUCCUUGUGCAUUCCAACAGUUUCCGCAAAUUGGCCAGAUGCUCUUGAUGCCCCUUUGACUUGACCACAACAUCAUCAAUGUAGAUCUCCACUAGGACCCCAAUAAGCUUAUGGAAUAUAUAAUUCAUGGCCAAUUGAUAUGUAGCUCCAGCAUUUUUCAAACCGAAAGUCAUCACCACCCACUCAAACAAACCGAGAUGGCCUGGACAUCUGAAGGCCGUCUUUGAGAUAUCUUCUUUGGCCAUUAAUAUUUGAUUAUACCCAGCAUUACCAUCCAUAAAGCUGAUGACUUUGUGUCCCGCGGCCACGUCUAUUAAAACAUCAGCCGUUACCAUCCAUAAAGCUGAUGACUUUGUGUCCCGCGGCCACGUCUAUUAAAACAUCAGCCGUUGGCAUCAGAUAUCCAUCCAUCGGAGUAGAUUGAUUAAGAUUCCUGAAGUCAAUGCACAUGCGUAACUUUCCAUUUUUCUUGUAUACGGGCAUAAUAUCGGAAAUCCACUCGGCAUAGCGACACUGCCGAAUAAACCCUGCUAAUCAAUCUUGUAAUCUCGACCUUUAUAUCAGGUAGAAUUUUAGGGUUACACCGUCAUGCAGGCUGCUGAUAUGGCUGAUACCCUAAUUUUAUAGGCAAUCGGUGUUCAAUAAUGGACCGGUCUAGACCAGACAUCUCAUGGUACUCCCAAGCAAAACAAUCUUUAAAUUCUUUUAACAAACUUGUUAACUCACGCUUAUACUCGGGGUCUAACUUAGCACUGAUAUACGUCGGCCUCGGCUUGCUGCCGUCCCCAAGGUCCACCAUCUCUAGUGAAUCGGCCAACAUAAACCCAUGCCCAAGCUUCCCAUCUUCUUAGAUGAACUGAUCCAUUUAAUUUUAUUCUUCAGAGCCGACUGUGUGGAUCAGCUGUAGACCAAAAUUGGACACCUUCAGGAAAUCAGUGUCCCAAGUUUUGCCAGAUAUGCAUCUGACGUGUUCGCAGCUCCACUAUUGCGCGUCGACCGCGGCAACGCUGUAGACAAAAUCGGCGGUGACUACUUUGAUGGUGUCGCCGACCCAUUGGACGAGGCAUUGGUGCAUUGUAGACGGGAUGCAGCAGUUCGCAUGGAUCCAAUCCCGCCCAAGCAACAUAUUGUAGGACCCUUUGCCAUUAAUAACAAAGAAAGUAGUGGGUAGGGUCUUACUUCCGAUGGUGAGGUCGACAUAGAGUGCCCCCGGGCUGGAGAUACGUUGCCUUCGAAAUCCUUGAGCAUCAUGUCCGUCUUGGUUAGAUCUUCUUCUCCUUUACCCAGCUUGCAGAACAUGGCAUACGGCAUGAUGUUCACAGCAGCGCCCCCAUCCACUAGCAUCUUAGCGACCGGUCAUCCAUUGACGUGUCCUUUAAGGAACAGAGCCUUGAGAUGCAGGCAUUUUUCAUCUUUGGGUUUCUCAAAAGUGGCAGUCAUUGGCUCCAAAGCCAACUGUGCCAUCUGUUCCUCUAUCCCUGCCGCGUCGACUCAGUCGGAGGGAACCAUGAACUCUAUCGGCAAGAUGAACACCAUGCUGACGUUAGCUGCCGAAUCAUGAUCGUUGUCUCCUUCGCCGGUUUUUCUUCUGGGGCACCAAACUCGAGACCUAUCCCCUUUCUUAUCCACCCCUUGCCUUUGUUCCUCUUCUCGCUGCUCCCAUUGGCAUAAAUGCUGGACUCUCCAUUUCUGGGACUUAGUUAAACCGUAUGGGCACCAUCUGGGGUUUACUGGCUUGCUAGGCGGUUUUGCACGCUCCUAGUCUGGCUCUCGCCCCAGGGGGGUUCUCAUCUGAGACUCUUGCGUCAGCCAUCUCUCCCAGUCGAUCAUGUGCACUGGUCCUGCCCCCCAGCCGAUUACGCUGGUCAACUCUACCCCCAGCUGAUCUCCUUGCUCGUGCCUGUUUCUGCUAAUUGGCUCUAGUCCUCGAUCCCUAGAGCAUGAUCUCUUGAAUGGGCAGCUGGUACGAUACUGACCGUUGCACUUAGGGCAGUUAUCGACCAACGGUAAUCUAAGGUUACUUUCCCAGCAGUGAAUGAAAAAUGGGCACCUCCAGUGGUCCUUGUGUUGGCACAUCAUCUCCGCGUGACGUCUUGAGUCCUCCUACUACCGCUGGUAUUUGCUGAGUAAGUCUUGGGAGGUGACCAGUCGAUGUGGUCUUUCUGAUCCUUCGCCUUCGGUUUCCAUCUGUCCUUUUCCUUUGACAUCCUCGGUUGAGGCCUGAUUUCUGGGAUCGACGGCGCCGCUCCUUCUGGCCGAUUCUGACGUCAGCACCUUGGUUUGGAGUGCGUUUUUUCCCACGUCAACCAUGUUUGCAGGGAAGAGGUGUUGAUCGAUCUUCAUUGGCUUUGCUGGCUUCACCGAGACUUCAAACUUUAGUCUUCCUUGCUCAAUGGCUGACUGUAUUUGUUGAUAGAAGAUCUUGCACUCGUUGGUGUCAUGAGAUGUGGCAUUGUGCACUUGCAAUAUUUCAUCUUUUUGAGCUGCUCGGCCGACGGAAUCCUAUGGUAAGGUGAGAGUUUGAUCUGUCUCUCCUAAAGUAGCAAGUCAAAGAUUUUCUCGGCCUUGGACGUGUCGAAGCCAAAUGUCUCCGGUUCCUUUUUGCCGAACGGGCACGAUAUUAGCUUUUUCCCUUUUACCCAUUCCGCCAGGCCGAUUUCUACCUCUUCUUCCAAUUCGGACCCUUCCACAUACGCCACUUUCUUCUGGAAAUUUCUUCAUUGGUCGGAGGGGUGCACUUCCUGGCUGGAUAGCCGGUGAACGAUUUGGCUCAAGCUCUCGAACUCUUGGGAAGCGUAUUUCUCCUUGAUGUGUGGCAGGAGUCCUUGGAAAGCGAUAUCGGUGAACUGCACGUUGGUCAAGACCAGGGUGUAGCACUUGUUCCUGACUUCCCUGAAUCUUUGUAUGUAGCUGGUUACUGAUUCAUCGCUUCUUUGCAUGAGGCUGGUCAGAUCUGAGAGUUUCAUCUCGUGGACCCCUGCAUAGAAGUAUUUAUGGAAUUCCUUUUCCAAAUCGGCCCAGGUAACGAUGGAGUUGGGCGUUAGUGUAGUGAACCAUUGGAAGGCUGAUCCGGACAGGGAUGAUGAGAACAGGCGCACCCUCAGAGCAUCUUGUGUAGCAGCCUCCCCGCACUGGAUGAUGAACAUAUUAACGUGCUCCACCAUCGAUGUGUCGUCCAGGCCCGAGAACUUGGUGAAGUCAAGGACUUUGUACCGAUUAGGGAAUGGCAACAGGUCGUAAGUAGGCAGAUACGGCAUCCUGUACGUGUAAGUCUGCACUUUUGGUUUCAAACCGAACUGAUCUUGAAUUAUGUCCGCAAUCCUUGCGGUCUAGUCCACCUGCUGCUGAUGCUGCUCCUGCUGAUUCACGACCGGCUGAGGAACCGGCACGUGCUGUUGGACUUGCGGUACCACGAUCGGGUGAUAGACUGGAGCAUGCUGCAGAUCUUGUGGCUGGGCAGUCGGCUGAGGAGCCGAUGGCUGCUACCGUAGUGCAUCUGUUGCCUCAUCAUACAAUAUUAUCGGCGCCGCAAUUCUGAGUGGUUCCGGAGCACCUGCCCCCCUGCCGAUUUCUGAAGUGGUCUGCUGGUAUUGCGAGGCUUUCAGCCGAGAGGCUGAUGGGAACGAUGCCUGAACUGGAGAUCUCCCAUAACUAGUGGAUGGGUCCAGAUCAGCAGAUGUCGCCAUUGCUCCCCAUGGUACCGAGCUUGAAAACGGCGAUUGUACCGGGGGAAUUGGUGCAGGAUGAAACGACGCUUGUGAUUGAUAGAGCGUUGCACCGUUAUAUCCCAGGGGCAUUGAAGUAUUGUACCCUCCACUUUGCAUCUGCAUCGGCUGAGGAGCCGAGUAAGACGUAUUUGGCACCAUUGAGAAGCUCCUGAUUGGUGCCACGGUAGGAGGGGCAUAAGCUGGUCCCUGAUACCCCUGAGCUGCGCUGUUGACCAUGGAACUAAUGACGGCGUUGUACACAGUGUUGGUCAUCACCUUGGACUGGUCGAUCAUAGCCUGAUAAACAGACUGCUGGAUCAUCUCAGACAUCUUUCCUGAGUCCUCGGUGACGGUGAUAUGGCGGGAAGUCGGAAGAGGAGCUUUCUUGACAGUCUCCCCGCUUCUGGUAUGACUAAAGGAUUGUAGGCAUGUCUUCCUAUAUUCUUCUAAAGCCCAUGCCACUUCCUCCUUCUGGUUGUCCUUGAGAUCUGCUUCAGUCACUUCAAUGAUGUUAUCUUCAGAGAUCUCAGCAGCCUUUGACAUGUUGGAUCCUGCUUCGGUCCCACUAGGCGUGCCAAAAGCGUGUUGGCGCUAAAAAUCAAACCAUGACCCUUAGCGUCGGACACAUGACCCGGGAGAAUCUGCUUAACUCCUGUUCGGGUUAUUGCCCUGGUGCAGUUCGCGCAGUAUGCCAGUCAAUCUGACCUAUUGAUUAACGAGGAAAGAAAAGUAUUAAAUUCUAGGGGCUUCGAUCGGCUAAAUUUCCGAUCUGUCUUGAAGAGCGUAUUAGUGAAUCGGCCGAUUUACUAUAGAGAUGACCGGCUAUAAACAGCUGAUAUCCGUGUAGCAAUUGUGAGGAAAACAACUAGAGCAACCUAGACAACACUACAAAGGCAAUAGUUGGAAUAGAUCUAAUUGGCUAUUGUGAUGAUAAAGAAAAAUAAUAACGAAAAGCCGACAAUUCGUGUCUCAAGCUGGAUAACUGGUGAUAAAACUAGAGCAAUAAAUAAAACCUAUAAUUCUAGUUAAUAUUGAUAACUGGUGAAUAAAUCUAAACGAAACAACAGCGAUGCGCCCAAAGUUAAAGAUUAGAUAUUACUCGAUAAGCGGAACUUACAGAUUUUCCAGAGAUCGUGUUGAUGCAACCCUGCCAACUCGUACGAACUAGUGAAAAGAAAAGGUUUUGGCGAAGUCGCCGACUUGAAAGUAAAGUACGAGGAAAGAGUAGAUUUGUUGUAUUGAUUGAUUGAUGUUUACAAGCCUCACGAGGUAGCUAUUGAUACCCUGUUGCAACCAAUCUGUUAACCGACUAGGAUCUAUCUCUAAUUUUAAACGAUAACAAAUAUUUACAAACACAACUCAUAUCAGAGUUGGUUACUAUCUCCCCACGGGCCAAUCUCAUUUUUUCAGCUAAUCUUCAUCUUGGCCCACCUCAGGCCCAUACCGGCCAAGCCAUCCCGACUCCCAAUCGGCCAGCCUCUAUCAACUCCCUCUGCCAGUUGGCCGAAACACUGUAGCUUUAAUCGGUCGAUUCCCAACUGCAGCUUCUAGCCGCUGCACCGGCCGCCUUUCUUCUUCUUUGAUGCCGAUUCCAAACACAUGUCAAAAUCCGGCAUCAAAACUGAGUAUAUAUAAAAGAGGGCAGGGGUACCUAGAUUGGUAGCUUGGAGCAUUAGACCAACAGAGCUUAGAACCAUCAUCAAAUAGCCAACAACUAGGCUACACAACACCCAAGCGCGAGCCAUCGGCGAUGCAGAGCCAGGAUCCAAAAACGAAGGUGGCGCCCGCUUCGAUGAAGAAGACGGGCUUGACAAUGACCGUUGCCAUUGAGUUCGCACUGAGAAACUCGACGAGUUCCCCUACCUGGCGCGCUAGCUGUCGGUGUUUUAGAUUGGCAACCCGCCUAGGGGGUACCCUAGGUGGUCUUUUAUGCAGUAAGGAUCGUCGAGAAUCAAGGAAUCAAUGGUGACGCAAGGAACACGAUUUAGAUAGGUUCGGGCUGCUAGAUCGCGUAAUACCCUACGUCCUGUGUGUUGGUUUGUAUUGAUUUUGGAUGAACUGGAGUUGUCCUUGAGGGGGGUCCCUGCCCGCCCUUAUAUACACGGAAGGGCAGGGUUACAAGUCUGAGUCCUAAUCGAGUAUUAUUACAGAGUUCUACUCGGUAUGGCCCGAGUAGUUUUCCAUACACAUACUUGACUAGUCCAAGUGGGAUAUGCCUAUCCCUUGUCCUGAUCGUGUCCGAGUACGCCCCUCAGUGGGCCGUCCAAGGUCUACUUGUGGGCCUGGGGUGCAUGCCCGACAAGCCCCCGAGUACUUUAUAGUCGUGCGCCACAGUCUUGGGCACUGUGGGCAUUAUCCGAGUAGUUCAUCGUAGAGGUUGCGGACCGAAGUGCUCGAGUAUUGUCGCGCGGCUGGAAGGUACUCUUCUUGUUCCUUCGAGUUGUUUCUGUUCCGGGAAUUUUUAUAUGGUAGUGCGAUGUCAAUCGCACUCCAUAUAGAGUAGCCCCCGAGCCUUAGGUUGAGUUGAAGAGUCAGGCUUAGGGUCAAUCCUGCCUUUUGUCUAUUUUACCCAUGGAAAUCUUGAAAAAGAAAAAACUGACCAUCGGGUACGGUACCCACAGCCCCCGAGCACUUAGGCAAGUUCUGUCGUUGAAGUGGUCAGAAACCCAUUGAAAAGAGUAGCCGUUGGGUGUUUAAGGCAAUUAAUCUGCUUAAAAUCCGUCCGUUGCGUAACUGACGCUUGGAAUCUGGAGGUGGCAGAGAUAAAACUGGAGGGCCCCCUUUCGGUUAGGUUUACCCCCUGCAGUAAUCAGAUCUAUUUUUCUUCCUCCCCUGCGCUUCUGCUCCGCGUUUGUGCCAUCACAAUUGCCAAGCACAACCGCCGCCAUUGCUCCCCCUUGAGAGAGAUCCGAGAGUGAGUGCGUUUUGCUGAGGUUCAAAUCGGCGGAUGCGUACCAAGAAGAUGGGCAAGAGACCCGAGAAGAUCCAGGGCAAGGCUCCGGCUGUGGGCAAGGCUCCGGCGACGGGCAAGGCUCCGGCGAUGGGCAAGGUGAAGUCCAAGAAAGGGAAGGAACUGGUGCUGCCGGCGCCGAAGGUGGGGUCGACGAAUCAGACUGCACCGCUACUGCCUGGAGUGACAUGGCAGCAUUCGGUGAUGAAGGAGGAGGCCGUGCAAGCACUAGUCGAUGCCAAGCUUCUGCAGCCGAAGGAAAUACUCGAGUGGCGCCCAGCAUUUCCAAAUGCGUGGCAAUUUGAGGAACAUCCAGGCGAGAUAGUGAUGCUCGCACACUUUGUGGAGAGGGGGUUGGCGGUGCCCACCUCCGACUUCUUCAAAGGUAUCCUCGAGUACUAUAAGCUUCAACAUGUUCAUUUGAACCCCAAUGGUGUACUGCAUAUGUCCAUUUUCGUACACCUCUGCGAAGUUUAUUUGGGAGUUCCUCCAAGUCUCGAGUUGUUUAGGAAGUUGUUCCGCUGUAAGCCGCAGCCAAGUGCACAAAGGACAGAAGUCUUUGGAGGCGUCGGGUUCCAACUUAGGAACUCGGGUGCAUAUAUUGAGUAUAAUUUGACUGACUCCCAUGGGGAGUGGAAGAAAAGGUGGUUCUACAUCGGGAACCAUGAUCCUCGCUUGCCUGUGGCGAUUGGUCACGCGCACAAGCAUGCAGAAAACUGGGUGAGCGAACCUGAAGACACCCCAGAGCUUGACCACUUGAUGCAACAGAUUACCGAGUUGAAGGCACUCGGUCUUACUGGGAUAAAUGUGGCAGCUAGUUUUUUGAAGAGAAGAGUCCAGCCGCUUCAGAAAUGUGCUCACUCGGGGAGUCAGUACACAGGUCUUAAUGAUCCAUCGCAUAUGUCUGAUGAGGAUAUAUCCGAUGAUGAUGUAGAGGCAUUGCUGGCUAAGUUCUUCAGGAACUAUCAGGGAGUACCAGUGAUCCCUGCCGCUCUUCGGCAGUAUGAUGCCUGGUAUGAGCCAGAAGUGGUAUGUUCUGGCGCUUGACUUGUACUUUUUGACUUGUUGUGAUAUUUGUUUAAUAUCGACUUGUUGUCUUGUAGUCUCGAGUUCUUGCCGGCUACUUAACAUAGUCGGAAGAAGAGGAGACUGUUGUCAAGGAGUCAGAGGACGAGCCCUCUCCUCCUACGAAGAAACGCAGAGUAGUCCGCAAAAUGUCUGCGGCUAAGUCUGCUUCAACCCUUGAGAAGUCUCGGGGUACCAAGGUAUGUAGUCGUGUACUCAAUUGUAGCUGAUGAAGUUGAGCUUGCAAUCAUUGUGACUACUUUGUCUUGUUCAAAAAGGUUGUUGAUACGGCACUUGGUGAUGAUGAGGCUGCUUCUGAAGAAGUAGUCGUGACCGACCCUGACGUCGGUAAUGCAUCUGUUGAUAUGGUGCCAAAGAGGGUGCCAGCGACAGAAGCUGAAGUAGCCCCCGAGCUGACCGCACAGGCUCCGUCGGCUACCACACUGCCAGUUACUGACCAGGCAGUUCUGGGGUUGCCCGCCGGAGUAGCGGGUAUUGCAAAGGAGGUGUCGCCAGUAGUCGCUACUGGAUCCUUGUUGUCUAGUGUAAUCGCCAGUGGUAAGCUUUAUGUCCCGACUAAUUUCGUUUGUCCAAGUGGUAUUGUAGUCUUAACUUCUGCUUCCCAGGUUUUGGCGAGAGGACAGCGCCGUCAGCUGUUCCUGCGACGCCGAGUACUCGGUCGCUUAUCACCGAGAAGAAACAUGUGCGAUUUCUGCCAUGCUCAACCCGGUGAGCUUGCUUGUCCAUUGUAUAGCUUUAAGUUGUCUUGAAGUCGUAUAAUGACAUAUUUUGAUGCAGAGAUGCAGAAGAAACUAUCCCUAUAGAGACAAGGGUAGAGUCGGAUCCCCCGACUACAUUAUCUGCUCCCUUGGAGGAUUUAAUUGUUGAGGAGGUACCCGAAGUCGAUGCCGGUCGCCUUGGAGCUACUAUGUCUAUGCUCCAAGAUGUCAUCCGUUUGGUGGAAGUUCCUGCCGCCGCGUCGGGUUCAGGAAGUGCUGCCUUAUCAACAUCCACUGGCAGAUCUCUGGCUGUAGUUGGUGUGGAAAAAUCCAAAGAGGCAACUGCUCUAGGUAUGUUUCUGUAGUCCUAUUAUUGUAGUCGUAGCAGGCAUGUGACUGAUGAUAAAUGUUGUAGGUGCCACUUUGGGUGCAACUCCUCAUCUUGCGAAGAGUACUCAAAGACCAGUGCUCAGCCUACCAUCUGACUCGGAGUUCUAGAGGGCCGUCGAUGUUUUCCGGAGCUUCCAGGUGAAUUUCCUUUGCGUUGUCACAUAGAUCGAGUAAUUGUGAGGCUUUUAACUGAUUGUAUUGCCUUGCAUACUCGGACCCGUCAGGAACGAAGUCAUCAAUUGGAGCAGGAAUGUGCUCGACUGAUAGAAGCCUUAAGGGUUCACGAGGUUGGAGGGAAGUCUUUUGCUGUGGAACAGUCGGAUCACGAAGUCCUGCAGCAAAAACUAGAGACCCGCUACAAGUCUCUGAACAAAAAGUAUCAAGGUGAGUACUUUGCAUACUCCGAGCAUGUCCGAUUGUAGUACGCUAUGGUUGAACUUGUUUGUCUUGUAGAGCUCAAGAGGCAAGAGGCGGCAGCAAGGAGCCAAGUCCUCGACUGGAGAAACGCACACGAUCGAGUGGCGGAUGAAGCUGAACGUCUUCGAGCCAUGCUGAUGGAAGCACAGGCUGCUUGCGAGCAUCAGCGGGACAGGAAGAUGCAGAAUGGCGUGAUGCUUGCCAUGGCCAUGGUGGCAUGCAGAGAUCAUGCCCAGACCAUGGGAAGACUCCGAGGUGAACUCCAGAAGUUGACUAUAGCAGCUGAAGACUUGGUGAACGCCAUAGCCCCCGUGGAAGAGGGCGCAGGGCCUCAAUCAUUAGUUGAGCAAUUGAAGGCUGCCCCGAGUAAAGUGGCAGGACUCUGUAAAGCUGUUUGUAAACAGGUCCUUGCCGUUGUGAAGUCCUACUACCCGAGGGCGGACUUGGCGGCUGCUGGUGACGGCGUGGCUCACAACUGCACAGAAGAAGCAUAUGCGCAGUACCUUGAGGAGGCAGAGCCUAUCGCGUCGAAAAUGUCAGAGUUUGUCUCUCCAGAAGAGCCUUGAGCGUUUUAUGUACUCUUGAAACUGUUUCGAGUACUUUGAACAAUACUGUGACAAAUAAAUGCUGGCCCAUUGUUUUGUUGCUUGAAGUGGUUAUCUUGCAAAGAGUAGUUGUAGUCCAUCUCGCCCGAAUUGAAGUGGCUAGAUCAGCGAAGCCCAACCCCUAAAGUGGGGAACUCUGCUUUGCCCAAUCCUGGGUUCCAGGGUCGGGUGCGGCUGACCCCUUGAGGGAAAGAACUCCGCCUCGCCCAACCCUGGGUUCCAGGGUCGGGUGCAGCCGACCCCUUGAGGGAAAGAACUUCGCCUCGCCCGACCCUGGGUUCCAGGGUCGGGUGCGGCCGACCCGUGAAUAGAGGGUCGGAUCCUGCCAAGCCCCCAAGAUGUGGGCCGUGCCUGGCUAGAGUAAUUCUGAGUUUCGAGUAGUCGCAAUGCUGUCGAGUACUCUGCUUUUGAGGGGCACGGGUGUACUGUACUCUUUUGUCCUUUGUGGAUGCACGGGUGUACUAUACUCUUUUGUCCUUUGUAGCAUAAGUGCCAUCACGUGGGUAGAGUCAGAAGUCAUCAGACUCAUUGAUCACGGGCGCACAGUAACUCUUUGGUACAUGGUAGUUGCAGCUCUCGGAUAUAAAUAGAUCCAUCUGGAUGUCGACCCAAACCAAGUUUCUGAGUAGCAAUGGAUUGCCUUCGGUUGCUUUUGUUUGAGUGUAGAGAGCCAUCAAAGAGUGCACCGGUGCUAGAAGAUUCCUCAUAGAUUGAGGCCACCUUCCCUUCACAGACUCCUAUGCUCGUAGGGAUAACCGCGAUGCUAGAAGAAUCCUCGUAGGAGGUUUCAUCGCGCGCCUCAUCUUGCAGCUCGUGAUCCAGUGGAGUACGCACUGGAACUCGCGGGUGAUAGGUGAUGAGUGUCGCGGUCUUUAUCCCGCUCUCUUAGAGGUGGAGGUGUGGCCGUAGAGUGGAUUGGCUCGGCAAGGCUAGCAAAAGAGCAGCCUUGGUUCCCUCUAGGCGUGUCGCGCGGGAUUCAUCGUGGCCGCUGUCAAGGCAGUGGCGAUGCAGGAGUUCUUGGCGUUGCCUUGGGCAGAGGACUUGGAUAUGGCUGCGUUUUGCGCAGCUUCCUUGCGUGUAGGCCCAUCCUGUUGUAGUCGGCAGACCUGAGUGGCCUUGGGAUAUAGUAAAAGCCUGAGGCUUAAAUGCAGCCCGCCAGUAGGCUAUUGCUUGUAGUCUUUGUGUAUUUCGAGUACUUAUACUCGUAUGUAACUUGAUGAUGUAUCUUCGGUUCUGAGUAAAGAAUUACUUUACGGAAUUUUUGUACCAGGGCAAUGAUCCUUGUUGAGUUGAUAAUUCUUGAGUCAAGACUAAUGUAUUUUGAAGUCGGUAAUCGAGCUGAUAGCUCAAGUAGUCAUCAUGAGUUGUUGCCUUGAAGCAAGUACUCGGAUGCUGCUAUGGGUAAUAACGACAAAGGUGUUCUAUAUUCCAAGAGUUUGGUACUUGUUCUCCUGAAAGCUCUUGGAGUCUAUAAGAUCCAGGUCCCAUAACCUUUGAUACGGUGUAAGGACCUUCCCAUGGUGAAUUUAGUUUAUGCAACCCCGUUGAUUCCUGGAUUCGCUUGAGGACCAUAUCUCCCAAGUUGAAAGAUCGUUCCGUGACGUUGCGGUCGUGGUAACGGCUCAAGCCAUCAAGGUACCUGGCAGAUUGCACUAGCCAUCGGCGAUGCAGAGCCAGGAUCCGAAAACAAAGGUGGCGCCCACUUCGAUGAAGAAGACGGGCUUGACGAUGACCAUUGCCAUUGAGUUCGCGCUGAGAAACUCGACGAGUUCCCCUACCUGGCGUGCUAGCUGUCGGUGUUUUAGACCGGCAACCCGCCUAGGGGGUACCCUAGGUGGUCUUUUAUGCGGUAAGGAUCGUCGAGAAUCAAGGAAUCAAUGGUGAUGCUAGGAACACGAUUUAGACAGGUUCAGGCCGCUAGAUCGCGUAAUACCCUACGUGUUGGUUUGUAUUGAUCUUGGAUGAACUGGAGUUGUCCUUGAGGGGGGGUCCCUGCCCGCCCUUAUAUACAGGGAGGGCAGGGUUACAAGUCGGAGUCCUAAUCGAGUAUUAUUACAAAGUUCUACUUGGUAUGGCCCGAGUAGUUUUCCAUACACAUACUUGACUAGUCCGAGUGGGAUACGCCUAUCCCUUGUCCUGGUCGUGUCCGAGUACGCCCCUUAGUGGGCCAUCCAAGGUCUACUCGUGGGCCUAGGGUGCAUGCCCGACAGGGUGCAAUAUACAUCUCAAACAAGAUGUAGGGUAUUACGCUACUCUAGCGGCCCGAACCUGUAUAAAUCUAUGCCUUGUGUCCUUUCUUUUACCUUUGAGUUCCAGGUCCAAUGAUUCCUCACCAACAAAUCUACUACCUCGAGAUACCCCUUGGUAGGUUGCCAGGUAUAAAACACCGACAUCUGGUGCGCUAGGUAGGGGUGAUUGUUGAGAUCAUCAGGCGAGCUUGAAGGACCUCACAAUCAAGAUCAAUCUACUCGACAAGAAGCAAGUCACUGAGUUGGAGUUUCGAGCAGACAAAUCUAUGUCGAGAAAGAAUCAACGCACUCCACGUUCCAAUCAAAGACUGGAUCGAUUUCUACUACAGGGUGUUGCAUACAGCUCGUCGAUCAAGUCACGCAUAGAUUGAGGCAAAUAAUCAAGUCACCGACGACUAGUUUGACUACUCCUCUCAACUAUAAAACUAGUCGACGAUGGACUAAUUCGACUACUCAUCUCGACUAAAAAACUAGUCGAGGAUGGUCUACUUUGAAUACUCGUCUCGACUAUAAAACUAGUCGGGACAGGCAUCACACCAUCGACAAAUAAUCGGAAUCGACUCCGACUAGUCGGCUUCAUCAAUAAUCAACAUGGCUUCAUCGACAAUCGUCCACAAAUAAAGCUAAGUCACUUUUUUAAUUUAUUUUAUAUAAUUUUUCUGGCUUAUUUUCCGCAUGCAGGACAACGUGUUGAGUACUUUUUUAUGUAUGCCUCUCGAUGGAAAUUACCCUCCAGAGCUACACUUUGCCAACUAUUCCUGUGGCAUGUUGACCGACAGCCACGGGCUUAGUACACCGAAUUACGGAGGCUACGGCCAUGGUUUUGGUGCAUUGAGUUUUGGAGGCACCACCAUGGGUUUGGUACAUUGAAUUUUGGAGGCAAUAGACACAGAUUUGAUGCACUGAAUACUGGAGGCUCACAACAGCUACACCCUAAGGUGGCACAAAUCCUAUGCGCACAACACGCGCUCUCCUCACCAAAAGGCAAAUAAGUCUCAACGACUACUUUAAGCGCAAUCGCGCUCUCUUUUGUUGCAAUGCCGACUACUUAUGUCUUCUCUUAACGGUUGCCAAUAUCCUUGAGUAGAACAUGCCUCAAUUCAUGAUAGCCUCAGAUCUUCUGUCAUGCCUAAACGCUAGCACGCAUACAUGAGAUAAAAAGAUCUCAGACGUGCAAACAGCAGCGCCAGUACAUGUACAUGAGAUACAAAGAUCUCACACACGCAAUGGCAAUGGCUAAACAGGGAUUGAGAGCCUAAACGUAAUACGCUAACUGCUGGAGACAAAUAUGAUCGAAACAAGAGCAUGACAUACAAUAUUUACAUUCAUCACUGAAUAAAAAUUCAGUAGUUCCAAAUUCUAGAAAUAUGCUACAUAAUGUAUGCAUCUCUUUUUACAGGUCAAGCUUUGGGGACGACUCUCCAGGAUGCUCAACGUACCUCCAGUGGCUCAGAUAGCUCUCAAGCUCAGGGGAUAACCACCAAUUACUACUCGGAAUACCUCUAGUAGCUCAGCUAGCUUCCAAGCUUGGGGGCUAAGCGCCAAUAACUACUCGACUUGCCUCCUACGGCUCACUUGGUGCAUAAGCUCGAGGGCUGAAUGCCACAAGACUAAUCGGAUGAUGACUUGUGUGAAGACUAAAUACCCUCGGAUUGAUUAAUUAAUCAUUCCAAGCCUUGGGUGCUGAUAAGCUACACCCAACAGUUGAUUUUUUCAAGAUGAAAUAAAGAAGAUUCAAGAUUUUAUAUUGACCCUCAGCCUGAUUCUUUGAUUCAACCUAAGGCUCGGGGGCUACUCCAUAAGGAGUGCGACUUCCGCCGCUCUCCAUAUCACAUUCCAAAGAUGAAGAUUACGAAAUCAAAAUGACCAAGAGCUUGAGCACACCAUAGCCUCAUGGCAGCUUCGAGGAACUUUGAAGAUUCAGCCAAACAAAGUACUCGAAGAGCACCAAAACUACUCGGCGAGGAUCUGAAAAGUACUUGAAGACUGCUGCAUUUGACUAUGAAGUGCUCGGGGCUUGUCAAGGAUAGAUCCCUAGUACCCGCAAGGAAGGAAGAAGAUGGACUCCUACUACAAUUCCACUAUAAUCCUACUAGGACUCAUACCAUGAAUCCUACUAGGACUCCUCCUUGUAACCGACUAGUAAUCUUGCCCCCUGAGUAUAUAAAGGAGGGCAGGGCUACCUAGAUCGGUAGCUUAGAGCCUUAGACCAACAGAGCUCAGAACCAUCAUCAAUAGCCAAAAACAAGGCUACACAACAUCGAAGCGCAGGGCACAAUAUACAAUAGGUCAAACAGGAUAUACGCUCCCACAACAUCACGCACCGAGCUAGGCCGGCCUGAGCUCUCUGCUCUCGUGGCUGCACCCCUUUCACUCCCACUCCCUCCUCCCAAAUGCCACGGGCGAGCUACCCUCGCCCUCCUCUUUCUCAUGGUACCAAUAGUAAGGCCGGAGGUGGCCAGUGGCGCCGGAUUGGCGCCACUCUGGUGAGCCGUGAUGGCGCAAAUGGCUGCCAUGGCAGCGCCACCUGUCUCCGAUGGUGAAACGGUAUGCCCCGCUUCACCCCGUCACCCUCCAUCCACUUCCUCCUCCUACCGCGUGGACCCGAACUUGACGCUAUCGCUCCCUUCCAUCAACCCUCAUUGCCUCGCGACCCUCUGCCUUGUCCAGAUGGACCAAAGACUUAUGGGGCGGUGUCGUCCACUAGUGUUGGUAUAUUUAAUGAUCACAAAUAAAUACGCAAGUGCACGGAUAUACCAUUGUAACAUUUCACCCAAGAGUAUUCCCAAGGGUAUCGUAUUUCCUAAAGAAGGUGGGUAAGUCAAAAGAGUUUACUAUGCAUACGAGUAUAGCAUAGAUGGAUAGAGACAAUACUCACGGCAGGGGUGAGAUAGAUAGAUAGAUAGAUAGAUAGAUAGAUAGAUAGUGUGACACACAUGAAUCAUCUCAAGAUAACUAAGCUAGGGAGAAGGACUAAGAGUUAGCUCUAUGUUCAUAUGUACUUCCUAUAUACUGCAAAGAUCAUACAAGCAUAACAUACAUACACAGUUACUGCUAAUUUCUAAACUCCUAUAGCAUACCUAAAUGUGGGGGAUUACGAAGGACCAACAGGGUUGUCACCACCUGCAGCCUACCCCUAGCAACCCAUGGGGUAAACUUAUACCCAAUGAGGCUAAGCAAUCCAAGCACCAUGCUUGCAUUGUUAACAACACUCCAGCUGACUCGAGCUAUUGUGACAAGGGCUAAAUCCGCUAUAGAAAUGGCCAUCGAACCGAUGCCGUAGCAUAGAUUAACUAAGCUAUACAAGAUAUAUAUGCACAUAAAAUAUAACAUGUAGCAUGGUCUCAAGGCAUACAUGGACGUAUGUAAGCCUAUACUAUGAUAGCAAGGGUAUAUAUGUAACUCAUGCAUAUGAGAACCAAACACAACACUAUAUAAAGAUGUAUACUUUGAAUAGAAUAUAGUCAACCUAGGAAUAAAAGAUACAAGAGCCAUACCUUAGACUCCAAGGAGACUUGGAACCUGAAGUAGAGCUACUCUAGCCUAACUCCACUUACUUGGAAACUAAGAGGGAGAGAGUGAUUCACUAGUUGUGUGUGUCCUAGAAUAGAGCCCCUCCCCUCAUAUGUAUAGGCUCCAAGAGGUGGUUCUAGCAGGGGAUCUUUGGCGAAUAUCCCAUAACCGACGUAGGGGAGUCACCACCAGUCGCCACUUAGAAGCAGAUCAUGAGGGGGGAGGCAGUUUGACCAAUCCAAGGGUUCGGCCGUGUGGCGGAACCACCCAAAUUAACCUGACUAAAAUGCACUUAAGUCACCUGACAUGCGAUCAUGCACUUUAAGCAAGCCAACUUGGUCAUCCGUCGGAUUUCAUCCGAUAAACCACUUACUCAGGAUCGAGAAGCAUCGCUCACACGAAGGUGAGUGGGCACAGAGAUUACAACAAUCCCAUCACGUUAACAUAGUUCAACAAUUUAUUACAUUAGAGUUUUCGAAAUUCAAACAGAGUUUGCAAGGUUGUAAACAAUGAAGAAGUAAAACAAACGGAAGCUACACGACGACACACAAUACCAUGGUGAAGCCGACCAUGAUAUCAAUUUCCACGAUCCACGCUGUCUAAGGACGAUUUCCACUCGACCGUCCAACCUAGAGGGAGUUGGGUCAACCAAGUCAAACUGGCAACCAUUUCCUCGAAAUCACACUACCUGAAAACAUAGCCAGAAGCAAGGCUGAGUAUACUAAUACUCAACAAGACUAACCCGUCAGGUGGUAACUACUCCACCAACUCCUAGACAUGCAAGGCUUUUUGGCUGUGGGUUUGUUUUUGCCAAAAGAGACUAAAGUUGGUCCUUACUUUCAAUAUUUUAGCUCAGAUUCUAAGUUCAUUAACCAGUCUAAAUUAGCAACUUAUACUAAGCAAGCAUUGUUUCCAAACAAUUUAAGGGACAAGCAUCAAGAUUAAUAUCAUCAUCAUGUCCCAUCUUUACUCAAUGUGGAAUAGCGACCAAGCAGUCCCAAACUGUGAGAGGCAGACAAAUCGAUUCGAAUUUAUUAACCAUGCAUGGCGAACCUAAACCCACGACAUCCACGCACCACGAAGGGUUGCUUCACUUGUUAGCCGUCCCCAUCGAUCUCUUAGGCACGUGUCAGGUCCAAACUUCCUUUGGCAUGCAAGGCUCCAUCAUCCUGGUCUCUGCCAUACUAUGACCGCACUUGCAUCCACAUGAUGCACCAUGGGAACGACGUUCCAAGGACAGUAGGAAUAUAAGCCACGCCCCAGUUCAAUGAGGUACUAGGCUUCGUCAUCCCAUACUAGGUAUGAGAUUAGUAGUUUCAAACACUUGAUCAUGAACGCCGACGCGUUUUGACCUUAGCAAGUUCAUUACUAGACAGACGGGGCAAACCACCACAUCGAACCAUUCCCGGUCCCAUCUGUCAUCCUUAUAGUUGUAGUAUGAGUAACCAACAACUCCUAUAACUCGCGAGUGACAGGCAAUCACUCGACUUUUACCAAGUCCUAUUUAGCACAGCAACUACUCUACUUUAGCAGCUAGUGUUCAGAUUAAAGUUACUAAGUUUAUGCAUCUAAGGUUUCAAUCAACUCCUAUAAACGUAAAUGCACAAUCAUAAGCAUCAACAUAUUGCAUAAUUUAAAAAUAGGAAAACAUGCACCGGGGCUUGCCUUCAGGUUCAAAAAAAGCUAGUUGGUCUUCGGGGUCUUGAUCUGGCUCGGGCUCAACUUCCAUGUGAUGUAGCUCCGCAACGGGUUCCUCUUCCAGCGUGGGGGUGGAGCUCGUAGGUUCCGUCGACAAUAUUAGCUUCUACACGACAUGCAUAUGCAGAAAGUUCAAAUUUCUAUGCUUUCGUAUGAAGGAUGCAAGACAUGAUUUAAUAUUGAAGUGAAAGUUGCAUUUCGACCAUAUUCACCUAAACAAGGCUCUAAACUUUCAUUAUCUUCAUGAAGUAAGGUGUGUUGGGAUUUAAAACUCGGGGUUGACUUUGAUGGUGAUUGUGUACAUAUAAGGUUCUUACAACUCAGAACUUCACAAGGAAGGUGGGGGUCGCUUUUAGGAUUGUUCAGGGUUCAUUUGGAAGGUCAUUUAUUUCUGAAUGCUUUUAUGUACCUCUUCCAAAAUUACCAAUUAAGCUUACUAGGACUUAACAUUUUCUUUAUUCAUUUAAACCGAUUCCUCAUCCAAAAUUUGUUUCCACAAUCAAACAGUAACAUAUGACACUAAGAAAUUAGCAAUAUCUCACUCAUGUCAUCAAUGAGUUACUGUAAAAAUUUGGGAUCCAUUGGAUUAGUACAAAAAUAAUUAAAAUUAUUUUAUUUACCAAGGGUAGCAUGUACUUAACCAUUCUUAUCUCAAAACCUAUAGUGAUUCUGAGGGUGAAACUUUAACAUUGGGUUGAAGGCAUGUUGCAGAGACUUUGUUGAAUUUUUCAUGAUUUUUAGUGAAGGACAACUAUUUCCCAUAUAUUAAUCCUAUGUCUUUUUCUCUAAAAGGAAAAGUGGGUUUCUUUCUGUUUUUGACCAGGUUCUAAAUUUUUCCUACAAACAACACUUCACCACUAACCUAUUCCAAUUGGUUUCAUAUUUUUAUCGUCUCUGGAUUAAAACCUAUGCCAAAAGAAAGGUCUACCUGCAGAUUUAAAUUAAUAAACUAAAACAGUGACUUAAAAGUCUAUGCUAGACUCCUAACCAUUUUUUCUAAGUUCCUACUCUCUGAAAUAUACAGUUGAGACUUGGAUUUACCUUUUUAUCAUUUUUCUUCGAUUACUAUGAUUUAAAUGGCCUAGACAAGAAAUAAAACAUAAAACAAUAUUUCUAACAGUAACAUCUCCAAGAUCAUUUUUAUAUGAAACUAGAAAGUUCACUGAGCCCAACAAAAUUUAUUUGGCAUAUUUUCUGAGUUUCCUACGAUUUAUGGUGUAUUUACAAAAUUUAAUCUAUUUUCUGCCGAUUUAAAACAAUUAACCGAAAUAAACUUACAACGUAACCCUUACGUCUAUGGUUUAAUUGCGCAGGAGUCCCUAGUUUUUUCGCUAAGGCUCCUAGAUAAAAUGCAACUGAUGCAAUGUGGUCCCUAUGGCGUCCACGGCGGUGGGCGGAUAAAAUUCUGGUGAUGUAGGGCUCGACUCGCGGGAACAAGGGGUCGAGGGUGCGAGCGUGCUCACCGUGAGGGGCUUAGGGCAGGUCUCGGGUGGUGGCGAAGGCGAAAUGAUGGCGAACAGCCGUGGGGACGAAAGGUGGGUGCAGCGGCGGGGAGCUCCAGUGUUCCGGUACUGGCGGACUUCCUGGCGGGCAACGGGCGGUGCGGAGAGCUUCAUGGGGUGGUGCGGAGGCGAUUACGGGCAGUGGCGACUGAGGGCGCUGAGCGGAAAGGGGAUCUCCACGGUGGGGUGUGCGACGGCAUGAAGCAGAAUGCAAAGCAGAGGCGAGCUCGGGUGCGGGGAGCUUCGGGCGAUGCAUUGGUGCUAUUUAUAGCGCCGGGAGGGAGCGGAGGAGUGAGGCGGGCCAACGAUGGCGAGCUACGUGGUCGGAGGUGAGCGGAGGAGAGGAAUGGGAAGGAACACCAUUGGCCGGUGGCGUGCAUUGGCCAAGAGCACGCAGAGCUCGGGGAAGAUCUCGCGGUGAUUGGCUCGCAAGGAUUUGGGACAUGCAGGUGUGGCUUUGCUGGGUGGAUGGAUUGGCAAAGCAGCGGCAUGAGUUGUCCCGUCAGGGUGGUGAUUGGUGGAGGGGAGCCGGAGGGUCACUGGCGCUCGAGUAGAGGGGGUGGACGCCAUUGGCGGGGCGGGAUGCGGCUCAUGGUCGAUCUUGUGCUCAUUGUCCAAGGGAGAUUUGUGGCGCGCCAAGGCAGAUUUGUCGGGAGGGGUUACUGGCGGAGCGGGGCGUGCGUCCUGUCGCGUCGCGGCACUAGUUGGGGAGGAGGAGCUGGCCGGUGAGAGGCAGAGGCAUGGCACGCCAAGGAGCGGGCGGACGUGUGCGGCGCCGCGAGAGAUAGGGCGAGGGGGAUCUUGGGCAAGGGAAGGGAUAAGCUCGCCGGCAUAUUGGGCAGCCACGGUUCGACCUGUCCUAUCCCGGGAGCAGGUUGAGCGACGGCAAGCUCGCUGGGGGGGAAGGGGUGAAGCCACGCAGCGGGUGGCGCACAGGCGAACAUGCCGGGCGUGUUCUGGGCGCGUGCUGGAGGAGGGCAUGCCUCAGGGCAGGCCAAAAGGGCCGGGUUUGGGGGCCUUUUGCUCAAACAUUUUCAAAAGAACUCAUGAAACUCCAAAAGUAAAAUAUGUAGCCCUAAUGUCCAGCUCAAAAUUUUACAAAAAGAGUUUUCUCAAAAACAAAACGGAUUUGAAAUUACGAGGUUCCAAAGUCGGUGGGAACGCGCUCCUCUCAGACUAAGGCGUUUUAGCAGUUUGGCUGAUUUUCAGGAAUCUUGGCUGGUUUCGAUGCAGAUUUUGAGAGGUUUGGAAUUUGAAUAAGGCAAGGGUGUUAUUGAAAGAAAUGUUCUUUUAUCUUAGGAAUUUAACUUCUAUUAGGGACUUUUCUUGAGUUCAGUUCAACUUUUAGGAGGAACAGGCUUGCCAAAAUGCGCGCUAUGGACGUUCUUCCAGACUUAGCGCAGAAAUGCACUUGCGCUGGUUUGACUGUUUUGAGUAACUUUGACCAAGCUUUUGAACAGGUUUGGUUGUAAAUUAGACUUGGGUCAGUAUAAUAAAGUUGUAACACACUCAUAGCACUACAACUUCUAUUUGGGGUCUAACUCGAGUUUAGAUAUAGAAUUGUGAGAUAACAGGUUGCAAAGUCGGGGAAAAACAUGAAUUCCAGGACAGGCCAUUUGCAGGAUUUUGAUGUACUCCUGAUUUGAUUCUUGUUUUUGACCUUCUCCUAAUCCAAAUUAGUCAAAGUGCUAUUAGUAAAAGUUGUUUGAAAUUAAAAUUUUUACAACUUCUAUUUGGACAAAAUUUCAAGUUUGUAUAUAAAAUCUCAAUUUUACUAUUUAACUCUAAAAUGAGCUUUUUAGGGACAAAUUGGACAUUUCACUUCCUCUACUUAGUGACUAAUGACUUUCUUAAGUUUAACUACACCUAAUUAAGGUAGAGAUGUUAUAGGCCGAACCGCUGGUGGCCCCUCUCACAACCGCCUUCACGUGGUAGUCUAACAUGUGGGUCCCAAUGGCGGUUGUGUGCGUUAUCUGGUGGAUUGAGGCGGUUGUGGUAGUUUGUGAGCCCUUCAAUCCAUGGAAUGCAUACGUGGUGACCUCCCAUUGGCUAGAAGCGUGUUUCUUGAAUCCUUUUGUACUUUUUCACCUGCAACCAAAUAUUCUUUAAGGACAAGUGGAACUACAUUAUUCGAAACCAAAUAUGCGUGUAAUUAAUAUCAAUCCUCCUUUAUUCUUGAGUAUAUUGACGGUCAUAUUUGGUACUUAAUGACCAUCAACAACCAGCUUGUGGACACGGUCCACCGCACAGGAAACAACAGCCCCCACCGCCUGCGUCAUCGCCCCUAAAACUACUAGAGCCACCUUGUAAAGUGUACACAAACUAUUAUUCCAAGCCCUUCCCAAACUCCAAAAAUCUCCUAGAAUACUACAUAAUAUUCUAAACCUAGCCAUGCCUUCCUUUCCCACUAUUCAUCACAUCUAAGCCCCUUUCCAAAUUAUCUAGCCCACACAUAAUAGAAAACUCCCUUUUUCAUGUACGUGAGAAUUUGCGUAUCACCUGGUCUUCUUCCAGAAAUUCCCCUAAAAUUCCUAAAUCCCCACCAAGUAAACCAAUUUUCCUACCCAUCCUUGGUCAUCUUGCCUGAGCUCCACCCCAGUGGCCAAAGUGAGUUCGUUGAGCAAGCUCUAAUCUCAAUUUUUUGAUCCGCUUAACCUUGCCCAACUCCGCCCGACGCCGCGUGUCUAUCCCCUAGCACCGAACCCGGAUGUUCGUUGUGCAAGCUCUAUAACAUCCAUUCCUAUCCUACCAAAUCUUGCCCGGCUUCGACAUAGUGGUCAUAGAGAGUCCGUAGAGUAAGCUCUCUAGCUUCCAUUCCACUUGAUCUUGCCAAUGGCAUCUAUCGCCGCACUAAGACAGAUCAUUCGUUGUACAAGAUCUCAAGUUCUACUCUUAUCCUAGGAUAAGGAAACUUGGACAGCUCCACCCCGGUUGACGAGUACUGUUGCGCAAGUCUCCUUUACCCUAGCCCUUGGCUCAUUCUAUAAUAUCUGUCCAAGCCUCUGGUCCAUUCCACCACACAGCCAUUAUGCUGCCCAACCUAAACCCCGAAUAUCGUCCAGGCAUAGCUGUUUUGCCGCUCAUCCAAAACCUCAAGCCUUAUCCAAACCUAGCCAUAAUAUCACCCAACCUAAAUCUCAAUUAUCGUCCAAACCGAGCCAUCGCGCUACCUGACCAGAACCCCAGAAAUCCCUAGGAAAUUAUUCAUCAUUUUCCUAGGAAAUUCCUCAAAAUCCAACCAUCCAGGCCAUUAAUUAUUUAGAAACCUAAUUCUAAAUAAUUAAUGAGUUAUUCAUCCAUUAUCUGGGAAUUCACCUCUAAAUACCAGGUAAUUCCCAAAAUGCCCCGCAUCCUUUCCUUCUCCAAUUCCUUAGGAAUUGAUUGGUGUAUUGUUUUAUUGAUUGUUAUUUUAUGUGCUUCUGUAGCCAGUAGUACGACCAGGCUUUGCCCCGAGGCCGAGGAUCCAGAAGGCAUGAAGCAAGGACCCUGGUCACCCUAGGAGAUGUUAAUGAUUUUUGAUGAAUGCAAGUCCCGACUCUUAGUCCAUGUUUUAUCCUAUUGAGUGCGAGAGUAAAUAAUAUUGCCAACUAAUGCGGAUUGCAUUGUUUUCCCUUUGAGAACUAUUUCUUUAGAAAUACGAGCUUGCUCAAUUUCUCUCCUUUUUGCUAUUGAAUUGCCACAUGCCAAAUAAACCCUAGGCAAGAAGUUUUGUACAUCAAAAACAUGAAAGUCAAGGACCACUUUGACAUCUUCGUGUCUAAUAGACACGUGCUGCAGAAUCCCAACUCCUUUCAAGAAUUCUCUAGAGGAGGUCUAGAAAGUUUUGUCUGUCGGAACUAACGGUUUGUCUCCGAAGAGCUGCAUCGCGCACUCGCUGGAGGUGAUGUUGGCUCCGACAGUGGGAUUAUAGAGGAUGUUUACCGGGCUUCCUCUUAUGACACACAUAAUAAUUUGAUGGAGGGGAACUGAUCUGGAGAACUUCUGACGAUAGUUCCAGCUCUCUCAACCACUCACUAGUCAUAAUGGCCGUCAGCUCCCUAACAUUUUCCCUAAGGAAGGUGGCUUCUAUAGGAUCGUUAGAAGGGACGGGUACCGAUGUUUUCCUCUUGCAAAGAUAAUUAGAGGCAUUUCAAAAAUCUUCAAAAUGAUCAUCCUCGAAUUCAAAAGGGAGCUUUGAGGGUUGAAUUUCUUCUUCCUUCAAAACUCAUGGUUCAGGAGAGGGCUCUAGGGCUGAAUCUAAGGGUGUGGACGGUAAGGGAUUGAAUUCAGCCGCUAGAAUGUCCCCAUGGCUUGAUGUACGCUCUUCUCGAGAAGGUCUAGACUCGGUUACAAUGGUGUUUUUGGUGAUACAAUCUAAGAUUUUCCUACCUUCGGCUGGAGGCUUGUGGGCGAAUGACCCUCCCGCAGUAAUGUCAAGGUAAAGGGUGGAUUCCGUGUCGAGACCCAUGCAAAAAUGUUUAAGCAACACAUGGUCGGGGAUCGACAAGAUAGGCCUAGACUUCACUAAAAGUGAAAACUUGGCCCAAGCCGCACCUAUGGAUUUCUUUUCAUCCUGCUGAAAGUUGAGGACAUCCCUCCAUAGAGCGACGACACAGGACUGUGGAAAGGACGAGAGACAAAACUUGUCUCUUAGUCUAUCGCAGCUGACAUGGACACCUCCUACGGUUUGCGUGUACCAUCGUUUAACCCCUUCUAUUAGACAAGAGGGAAGCAACUUCCACCUAAGGGUAUCAUGUGACAUGCCCGCGAUGGCGUGGCUUUAACACACUAGCUUGAACUCUCGCAGGUGGUGGUAUGGGCUCUCACUAUCUAACCUAGAGAAAGGAAGGUCCCGAACCAAAGCGAUAAGGACGGGACGGAGUUCAUAGCUGAAUGUCAGAAUUGGAUGUUCGGAUGGUGGUGGCUCACAGAACUCGGCCCUAGGAGUAGAAAGGUUUUGGAUAGAAGGUUGCUCCAUGAUAGUGAGGGUAAAGGUAGAAGAAACAAAAACUAAAAGGAUAUGAGGACGACUAGGUAACAAGAAAGAUACAGCAACCACUCCCCAGCAACGGCGCUAGAAAGGUUGCUGGUAUAAUUAACAAAUGCGAAUAAAUCUGCAAGCGCACGAAUACCAUUGUAGCUUUCACCACAGAGUAUUCCAAGGGUAGCGAAUCCAAGGGAACGUGUGUGUACUAACUCCUAGUUUAGUCGGUCCAAGGACACACCAAGAUAGGUGGCGAGGGUAGAGAGGAUUCCUAAGGAUAGCUCUAUAGGUGAGUUAAAGGUCUAUCUCUUGGUUAAAGAACUCGCUUCGGGCACCGUCUUACCCUAAAUUAGUCAGGCGCCUCCAGCCAACGGCUCUAUGCUAUAUUUGAAUGUGGAGGAUUACAAAGGACCAAUAGGGUUAUCACCACCUACGGCCUACCUUUAGCAACCCGUGGGAUAUAAGGCAAAUGAAGGAUAACUCUUAGCCUAGACACCACAUCUACGCUACUAAUUACUACUGCAGUAUAACUACGUCUGACGUUCUGUAGCAAACAUACAUCACUCUAUAUAAAUAUAGAGCGACAAACCUGCGAGUAAGAGAACUGAUCUCACUCAACUAUAAGAACUCUAUAAGAAAAGAAUCACGAAUAUGAACUUACUUCAUACCAAAGGAAGCAAAUAUCCGUAGAGGUACAAGCUUGGAGAAAGGCGCAGACAAACCCUGCGCUUCCUUGAACUACCCCUCACUCUCUCCAUACUCUAAGCACUAGCUAGGUAGCACCUUGCCUUUGCAAUGAAGCUCUAAACUUCUUUGAGUUGUGUGUCUUAAAAUGAGACCCCUCCCCUCAUAUUUAUAAGCACUUGUGGGUUGGUUCCUGAGGGAACAUUUAGGGAAUCUUCUACAACUAUCAUUGCAAGGUCGGUAACUAGCAACACGUGGUGGCUGGAGGCGAGUGGAGCCAACAAGGGUUUGGCCGAACCCCUCCCCUGACAACCGCCUUUAGCUGGGUGGCUACUAGGUGGGUCCUUACUUGUGUACAGGGUGCUUUGCGAUGAGUCUUGUCAUUUUACUCCCAUUUGAAGGCCCUUCAAUCCGUGUGCUUGCUCCUGAUUAGUUGAGAGUGUGUUUCCUUACUCUUGAGGUGUGUUUUCUCCUUUAAUGGACCUGCAUACAAAUAUUCCCCAACACUUGUAGAAUUCAUUAGUAAUAACUCCUACCACUAUUGCUGGUCCUCAUCUUUUCUGUGUUUAUGCAAGAGUUGACGACCUAGAUUUGGUACUUAAGAGCCAUCAACACAAAGGGCGGUUUGGCCGAACCAUGGGUUCUGCCGACCCCCUAUGGGCCCUCCUCGCAACCACCUUUCUCCAGGUGACUGCCUAGUGGAUCCCAAUGGCGGUUGUGUGCAUUAUCUAGUGGAUUGAGAAGGUUGUGGUAGUUUGUGGGCCCUUCAAUCCAUGGGAUGCACACAUAGCAACCUCCCAUUGGUUAGAAGUGUGUUUCUUAGCUCCAUAGAGUGUGCUUUCUCCAUCCUUUUGUAUUAUUUCACCUGCAACCAAAUAUUCUCCAAGGAUAAGUGGAACUACAUUAUUCGAAAUCAAAUAUGCGUGUAAGAAAUGCAAAUCCUUCUUUAUUCUUGAGUAUAUUGACAGUCAUAUUUGGUACUUAACAACUGUCAACAUGCUCGCAAUUGUUUUCAAGAUGCAGAAUGAUAACAUCAGGCGACGGCAUUCUGAUGCUAUCAAUAACUCCAAGCCCCUAUGGAAGCUAAUAAAAUACAAGAACCUAUCAAACUAUAAACUAACUGUAUCACCAAAGUCAUCGUAAAUUGAAAUCAAUAUUCAAUGUUUAGCUUUCCACUUCAUAAACUAUAGCCUAUCAACUUCUAACACCAAUCAUAAUGCAAAUCUAAGGGUAUAAUGAAAUCAGAAUCUAGUAUCUUCAACCCAGAUCCCCAAAUCUAGAAAUUCCCUUCCGUAGGACAAUAGGGGAAAGUAGCGGCACAAACUAGGGGACUGACUUAACCGUACCUCCUCCUCUUCCCAUCGCCGCUAGGAUGUGCCAUUCCCGCUGCGGGCUGUUGCAGAUCUGUGCACCGACGCUAGCUAUCUUUGCCACAGCCAACAGGAGCAUGGUGCCGGCAAGUCUCUUGUAGUAGAGUACGCUGUGUCAAGAAAUUAGAAAUAUGUAGACGCAUAGUUCAUGUCUCAGUGGUAAUGCUAUCUUAGCACUUUCAAGAGGUCAUAGGUUCGAGCCUUGCUAUGGACACUCUUUCCUUUUUAUUUUCCUUCCUUUUUUCAUCUCACACUAACAUAACUUACCAAAACUUCUGCAACCAACUUACCUAAAACUUACAUGUGGGAUCCAAUUGCCGUAAAGAAUCCCCAUUCGAUCUGUAACAGGUUCAACCCACGAGAGGAGCACGUUUUUCUUUUUUAUUUUAAUGCCCUAUUUAUUAGCUUAAACUUACACGUGGGAUCUUGGUUGGUUUAUGACGUUUUCGCAGAGCUUAUAUCAUCACAAAACUACCAUGUAACAUCAAGUGACGUUUUCUUUUUGUUUGGGUGGCAACUUUUAUGAUGUUCCGUAACUUUAUCACUAAAUUUGCUUGGAUGUAACAUUUGAUGAUGUUUUUAGCUAGAAACAUCAUAAAUCUAUGACGAGAACAAAUGUGACAUAAAAUUUUCAUCAUAGAUCAGUACAUUUCUUGUAGUGAGAUGAUACCUCAAAUCUUAUGGGCUAUAAAAAGUACGUAUGGAUCUUAGUGUGUAUGCUGAGCUCGAUUUGUACCGUGUUGGGCUUGAAAGAAUAGUAGGAUAUCCUAUUAUAAGAAUUAGAUAAUCUGCGUUUAAUUGGAUUUUGCUAAUACCAUAUCCUACUCCACAUCCACCCACAAUCAGAUUCGGAUUAUCCAUAUCCAUAGGAUAUCAGAAUCUAUUCUCCAUAUCCGCAAAAUUCGGAUUCGGAUCAGAUAUGCGGAAAUUAUCGUUACCACUUUCGCGCGGUCGCAGUAGUGAGUGCACAGGUGGAAAGGGGGCACAAUGGCGUGUCAUGAUGAGAAAGACGAGGGCACAGUGCCCUGUCAGUGCCAGGUGGGGCCAGCGGUCAGCGACUGUGGCUGCGAAGGCGGUUCGCGUGAGACGAGCUGGGCCAGCGGCUAGCUAGGCUGUGCACGAUGCUGGGCUGCAGAGCAAGCUGGCGAUUUAUGUUAGAUAGGCCAGAUGGGUUAGGGCCCAAGUCAAUUUUAGAGUUUGUUAAGAUGGGUUAGCUUUUGAUUUGAAUUUGAAUUUAGAUUUCAAAUUCAAACCACACUCCAAUAAAUCCAAAUAAAAUCCAAUUAACUCCAAUUUCACACUAUGAACCUAACAAUUCAAUUUAAUGUUUAGUUAAAUCUAAGAAUUUGUGAGAGGCAAGGAAGACAUCCUUAUGGUUGUGCCAAAAUUGAAACAAUUCACCCAAUGUUUUUUUAUAUUCUCAUUUUUCACACAUUAACAUAUCGUGAAAACACAGGAUGUUUCAAGGAGGGCAUAGUUGUGAAGUACUGUGACGUGAAAAUUAGCCUACAACGACAUAGAUCAACAGAGAAAAACAUGCGAGGUCAUAGAGCAGAACCAGAAGCAGAAUGUAGCAAAUACAAACAUGCUUACAUGCUGGAUGAGAGCAGUCAACAAGCAGAUGCAGGUACCAACGCUUAUCCUUGCGCCCAGCAAGAUCAGGCAAAGCUGGCCAAAGGAUCCAAACAUAACCUGCAGCUCUAGGGGGAGACUGCAGGGAAGCACAUGAAGGGAGUGGGCCCCAUGGAAAAAAAGCUUAUUACAUUUGAACCCAAAAAUUUUCCAUAAACCUUAUACUAAAUUAUCUAUGGAAAAGUAACAUAAUUUUUGAACUACUUAAAUAGUUUGACUGUAAGGAGAGAGGCAUCAGAUCGAUGUGGGAUCUGCCCGAGGAGAAAAAAUACAGCAUGCGUGCAUGUAACGGGAGGAAGGAACGCCAGGUUACCGAAGAAAAUAGCAAAAUCAAACAUGUGUGUGAGUACAUUCUGUUGUAAGUAAACUUAUAAUAUCACGAGUACUUUUUGAGAAAAACCUAUGCAUAAAUAUUACAAUUGCCUAAUCUCGAUAUUUUUGGGGGAAAAAAACAUAUCAGUAAUAAAACAGUGUUUCAGUAGUUUGACUGCAGCACGAUAUGAUAUUUUUGUUAACAGAGGGAGUAAUGUAUGAUAGCGAACACUACAAAGUACUUUGGACAAUACAAAAAAGGGCGUAAAAUAAUAUAAAUCAAUUAACAACUUGACAUGUGAUAAAUAAUUAGUGUUCUACAUCAGUCCCGUAAACCAGCACACUUGCUGUGAUAAAUGUUUGACUCAUCCGACAUUUCCAGUUCAAACUAGUCAUGGACCAUUAAGUUCAGUGAUCAUUUUCAGUAAGUGAAUCAACCAAACAAGGGGUGUAGAUAAAUGACUCGUAUAAAGAGGCUGUACUCCCAUAGUAGCCAUUCGGGCGAAUAGAGCCUAAAUAUUGAGCCUUUGAGCUCCUCAAAUGGUAGGCCACCACGUCGAAUGUUCACCCAAGAACACUACCUCUCUGUAUGGAUGAAACCCUAGAAAGUUGAUUAGCCCACCACCCCAUUGCCAAUUGCUUUUAUCAAUAUCUAGAAUAUCAUCAUCAUGACCACAUGACUCUCCACCUCAUCUUCCUCAUCAUAGUUGGCAUAUUGGCCAUUAACCAAUUGAUCCUCAAGCACAUUUUGCUCAUCACCAUUCUUGACGGGUUGAUCCUCCUCUACAUCUUCAUCAUCACUGUCAGCCUCUAGACCCCCCAUCUCGUCUUCAUCAUCACUAUCACUAAUAGUCCAUGGUCUAUUAAGUUGUUCCAAGUAGCACCGUAGGGAUUGUAUUUGGCAUGUCAGCACGUCAAGAUUCACAUGAUACUUUAAUUCCCACUCUUUGUGUCCCCCUGACUCAUCUAGUGCCCAUACUUGAAGUUCACGCUUCUUAACUGUGGCAUAGUGCACCCCAUUCUCUGAUCGCCCAAGGUAGGGAUUUAUAUGUUUACUCUCCUCAAUAUUUGUUGUUGGUGGUGUUUUUAUUACUUGGUACUUAUUAUCCAACAAAGGCAACCUACAAAAACCACGAAAAAACAAACAAGGCCAUCA
rnacentral:lncRNA from 1 species